AAGCCCAAAACUUAGGUCCUCAUCAAGUGAUGGUUUUCACUUGGGUUAUGAGAUAAUGAUUAAUAAAAACGAUUAAAAAUUUUUAUUAUCCGUCAAUAUUUAUACUAAAUUAUUUUAAUUUAUCAUGAUUUAAUAACGUAAAAAAGAAUAUAUUUAGUGGGAAAAAGACACUUUUUUUUGGUCCACUCAUGAAAUGGCCACAGCUAGACAGGUACAAGUUGUCCAAUAUCAUACUAAUAUUAAUAUGUUAUAUUUCUCUUUUACAUAUUUUUCAAAAUAGAUUUUUUUUUUAAAACUAUAUUUUAGUUAAGUAGAGUACAAUUUCUCUUUAUUAAAGUGGUAGUAAUACUCAAGAGCAAAUAAUUUUAAAAAUAAAAUAAAAUAAAACAAACAAUUAAUUUUGUUUUAAAUAUCUAAAACGAUCAGUAAUUUGAGACGAAAAAUAUAAAUUUGAGAGUAGUUCUGGGGUUUGUGGUUGGACAACAAUAUACUUGUGAAUUGGACCCCAAAAAUAAUAGAACACUUGUCAAUUGGACCCAAAAAAUUAAAUAUAUACUUUUGAAGGUCAUUAUUAUUGCAUGACUAAAUUAACUCACAUAUCCAUUUGAUAAUUUGACUUCCAUAAGAAAUACAAUACAUGAGUAAUAGUCGUGUAUUUUAUAGCCUCGUGAUCAAUGUAAUAGUUGAAAAUUAUAAAGUUUGCAGACAGAAUAAAUCUUACAAUGCGUGAAGUAAUAAUAAAUUUUAUAGCCUCGAGAUCAAUGUAACAGUUGAAAAUUAUGAAGUUUGCAGAUAGAAUAAAUCUUACAAUGUGUGAAGUAAUAGUCAUGUAUUUUAUAGCCUCGUGAUCAAUAUAAUAAUUGAAAAUUAUGAGAUUUGCAGACAGAAUAAAUCUUACAAGGCGUGAAGUAAUAGUAAUGUAUUUUAUAGGCCUCGUGAUCAAUGGAACAGUUGAAAAUUAUGAAGUUUGCUGACAGAAUAAAUCUUACAAUGCGUGAAGUAAUAGUCAUGUAUUUUAUAGCCUCGUGAUCAAUAUAAUAGUUGGAAAUUAUGAGAUUUGCAGACAGAAUAAAUCUUACAAUGCAUGAAGUAAUAGUAAUGUAUUUUAUAGGCCUCGUGAUCAAUGUAAUAGUUGAAAAUUAUGAGGUUUGGAAACAGAAUAAAUCUUACAACGCGUGAAUUUAAAUUUUUUUAAUUAUGGUUUUAAAAAAUAUAAGAUUGAUGCUGGAAAGUGAAAAAGAAAAAUUGAGAGCUAAAAAUGUCUCCUACUUUGUGCUUGUACAAUUAAUGUGCCAGCUCUCUUGCUUCUUACUAUUAUAUUAUUUUUGUUCCCUAUUUUUUCUUAAAAUUUUUUUAAAAAGAAAAAAGAGAGAGAGAGAGAGAAUUCAUAUACUAAUUGGAAGUGAAUUGUUGAAUCCUAACAAGUUGAAAAGGUACUGCUAUUACUAAAUGUAUCCAUAUUUUCUUCAAUUUUAAAGCGUUUUUUGAAGUGAUAAAAAAUAAAUUGCAAUUCACAGAUAAAAUACGAAGAAAUAUAGUUUUAUUGAUCAAGAUUGCAAGAAUAAUUUUGUUCCUUCCUUAUUAUUGUUGUGUUAAUUCUGGAUUACUCAAACCCCAGAAAUAAUUUUGUGUUAAAAGUUACUUAUUGGUCCUUUAUCAUUUCUAUAUGCUAUAUUUUCUAGUUUUUACAAUUUGGGUGUCAAUUCUUUUGCUUAAAUGAUUUUUGUAUUUUAUGUUGUUUUGUGGUUUUUAGCCACUUGGUUUUUGUGAUGUGUAGCUGAGAUUAGAUUUAUUUGUACUAAAUUGUUUUAUUUAUUAUUUUGCUUAAUUUAGUGUACUUUUGCUUUUGGAGCUUUUGACAUUUUUGUGUCCCCAAAGAUACUGUUUUCUUUUCUUUAUCUUUACAUUUUUCACUUUCUUUAGUUUUUACCCAAUCCGAAAAGGCUAAAAAUUUUGCAUUUUUGUACACAAAUCUAUAUUUCUCUUCUUUAUAGUAGCAUUCCUUGAGCUUCCUUUUGAUACUAGAUUUUAAAGUCAUAAACUUAAGAAUACGAAGUAAUAUGAUCAAAUUUCACGAUUGAACAGAUAUUUAAAGAUAAAAUUUUAAAGAUAAAAUUUUAAAUCUAUGGCCAAAUGCGAGUUUUUUGGUAAUUGAGCUAUAGAAAAGUGUGAAGCCUUGCCAACUUAUGAGGGCAUAUUGUUUCCUGUUUUUCUUGUCUUUUUUAAUGUUCUUUUUUUCAAAGUUCAAUGCUUUAUGUCUUCUUAACUUCAUUGUCUUUUUAUUGAUGAAUGACUCCAUAAUUUCUAUCAAUUUGACUUGUAUAAAUAGAGAUAGACAGUUGAUACUGAGUUUAAGAAAGUAAAAAGAUUCUUGAAUCUAUGUUUACUGUACUAGACUAUUCUUUAAUUUUUAUGAUCAAAAACAUGUCACGUGGAACGUUAGAAUUAGAGGAGCUACCAAAACAAGAAAAGAGACUUUUUUUUUCUUUCUUGAAACAGACGAAAAAGGAAAGUAAAACAAACGAAUAAAACGGAGGGGGAGUAUAUUUUAUUCAUAGCUCACAUGCAAUUUCCUUUAAACAAUGAUUUGGUUGAUUAGUCUGGUUUCUAUACUUGCUGGCAUUUCCAUCUUCUUAUGUACUUUUAAAUAAACAAUUUCAUUAACUAAUAUUUUCUUCUUCUUGUUGUUCUUUUGUUUAGCUUGUUUUUCAGUUGACUGAAUUGAUAUUUGACUAAAGGAUAAAGAGAGCUUAGUCAUUUCAACAUUGGUUUGCUUUGCUUGAUCAUAAAUCUGAUCUGUGCAUCCUGUGAGAUCCAUUUUAUUAGCUUUGCUGUCAAUCAGAUGGUUGUUUUGUCAGUCUGAGCAUAAUGGGAGGUUGUGUAUCGACGAGCAGUAGUACUUGUAGUAGCAGGAGCAAUGGAGAAAAAGUCUCACCUGAAUGUUUAGGAAUAAACAUGUUUAGUCGAAAAAAGAGUAGAAGAACUUUUUCUGAUCAUGUCAUUGCAUUGAAGCAUCUAAGUUCAAUUCCUAAUCGGAUCUUUACUAAUGGCAAGAGUCGUACUUCUUGCAUAUACACACAACAAGGACGUAAAGGCAUUAAUCAGGACGCGAUGAUUGUCUGGGAAGUAAGUCGUGCUUUCUAUGCAUAGAACUCUUUUGCAUCAUUCAAAAAUCUGAUAUUAUGUACUUAUGUAGGAUUUCAUGGCGGAAGAUGUGACCUUUUGUGGUGUAUUUGAUGGUCAUGGUCCACAUGGUCAUCUUGUUGCUCGUAAAGUAAGGGAUGUACUGCCCCUGAAGUUAAUGUCCUUUUUGCAAUCAGUUGAAUCAAAGGGUAAUGGUUCUGCUGCAGAUUGCAGCAACGAGAAUCCUGAAUCGGAAGUUUUGGAUCCUGAUAAGGAUCAAGUGAACCUGGAUACUCAGCGGAGAGAAGCGUUUCUUCAAUCUUAUAAGGCAAUGGACAAAGAAUUGAGGUCCCAACCUAACUUAGAUUGCUUUUGCAGUGGUAGUACUGCUAUUACUCUAGUAAAACAGGUAAGUUUAGUCACAUUUGUCAUGCUAUAUCUUCUUCCAUUUCUGAGCUUAUUAUUGUUCUUUUUCUGUUUUAAGGGUUCAAAUCUUUACAUGGGCUAUAUUGGUGAUUCACGCGCAAUCUUGGCAUCAAAGGAUGACAAUGAUUCAAUGGUCGCAGUCCAGUUAACUGUUGAUCUGAAGCCUGAUUUACCUAGUAUGUCUCUUUUUAUAGUGAUUUAAUGAUUAACCGUUUCGGAAUUCCUAUUAGAUAAUCUAGUAUUUCUGUUAUCAGAGGAAGCUGAGAGGAUAAAACAGUGUAAAGGUCGGGUUUUUGCAUUGCAAGAUGAGCCGGAAGUGCAGAGAGUUUGGUUGCCAUUUGAUAAUGCCCCUGGAUUAGCAAUGGCUCGAGCAUUUGGUGAUUUUUGUGUGAAGGACUAUGGGGUAAUAUCUGUACCAGAAUUUUCUCACCGAGUUCUUACAGAGAGGGACAAGUUCAUUGUUCUUGCUUCUGACGGGGUAUGUUAAGCUGUCUGAAUCUCUAUUUUUAGUCUAAGAUGAACUUAAGUAGAGAGGCCUGAUCAGUGAGGAUACAUAUAGUCGAUCUAGCUUGGUUAAGACAAUUGCUAUAUAGUUAUUGUUGUUGUAGUUGAGGAAACAGAGAUUAUCAUGGGAAAAAGAACUACUAGUGACUGAAUGUAAACUCUUGAUUGCAGGUUUGGGAUGUCUUGAGCAAUGAGGAAGUGGUUGACAUAGUGUCAUCAGCGUCUACACGAUCAUCAGCUGCUAGAAUCCUAGUUGACUCUGCUGCACGCGAAUGGAAAAUUAAGUACCCGACUUCAAAAAUGGAUGAUUGUGCUGUUGUUUGCUUAUUCUUGGAUGGAAAGAUGGACUUGGAAUCUGACAAUGAGGAGGAGCAAUGUCUCACUUCUGCUGCACUUCAGAGUAACCAUUCUGGUAUUGCUGCUGAAUCCGAUGACGGGCACAACUCUGAGCCAUCUCUACAGAGAAACACUACUGUCAGAUCAGCUGAAGAGAGCGAUAUCUAUAAACGAGUAAUAGCUGAAGCAGAAGCAGAUCAAGAAACCACAAUGACAGAAGAUCAGAAAUGGUCAGGAUUGGAAGGCGUUACGCGAGUUAACUCUCUGGUUCAGCUUCCAAGAUUUUCUGAUGAGAGGCAAGGACCUUAACUUUGUGUUGUUCAAUUAUGAUUGUUGUUAUAUACAAAUUCUUUCAUCAAUAGAGAGAGUAGCAUUGGUUCCAUCAUCUACAUUCCAAGCAAAUGUAUUCUUGCUGCAACAUUUUAGAUCGUAAGAAUUCAUAUAGCUGACGUCAACUUAUUUGAGAUUGAGGCGUUGUUGUUGUAUUCUAGACCGUGUAUAUGUUCACCCUCUUCCAACUUUCAUACACGGGGUAAGCGAUGCUUAUCUUAGCAAGUUUCUAUUGUUUUUUGUGGCUUUGGGUUCGUUCACUAAAUUGGCUUCAUUUCAAGAUACUUUGUGUACUGAGCUGCCCUUUGAGCCGAAAGUUUCACAUGUUAUAUAGUAUAUUGUGAGUAAUAGUUAUGGUGGAAAAAGGAUUACUAUAGUAGUUGUAAAUAUUUGUUUUGAGACAAAUUACACCUCAAAAUUUGAAAUUUUCUUAGUUGAUGUAUCACCAACUAUUUAUCAAAAUACAUCUCGAAACUGACUGAUCAAGUGUCUGAGUAUAAUCGCCAAAUUAUAACAGAGUAAAUAUCACCGGCCUUUUUAUGAUUUUCAUACUCCAAAACGCGCCUCAAACUUUGAUUUCACCAAAUAUUAUAAUUCGGUUAACCGACAGGUAAAAAAGGAAAGCAGUACCAAAUCUUAACCCUACCUCGUGAAGAUACACAGAUUCUAAAAGAAAGCAAUAAUAACAAGCUGAAACAGCAUCAAGAUAAAUUUGUAUAGAUGAUGAAUAUGCUUUUGACUGAGUUAUGUUACACUAAACUCCUCUUUUUAUAUCUUCCUUCAUUCACCAAGGGAUAAGGCCAAGGAGAGUACAUACAGGCUAUAUAUAUAUAUACACACACUUUUAAUUUCCUAAAUAAAUAGGUUUCUCAAAGGCUGGCUAAUUAUUUACUAUAACUUGAUAAUAAAACUUACGAAUCUGUUAAGUUGUGUAGCUUGAUUAAUCCUGCAAAUGCAAACAGAAGAAUAAGCUUUAGUGCAUUAAAAGUGAGGGAACUUCAAGAUUGAAGAGGGCAGUUUAGUUUGGACCAGUACCUCGGGCAAUUUACUCGAUGAUGAAUCAGAUUUAGCUUCUGAUGAUUCUUCAGAUAUCCGCGCCUCUGAUUUCUCAUUUGAGUAACUGCAAAUACGAAUUUCAAGUGUCAGGAAGAUACUAUAUAUGCCUUUUCUAUGACGUUCUAGUGCAUAUAUUAUGACAUGUAUAGACACUUAGAUCUGCGAAGUUGGAGUGCUUAUUUGCGAGCUGACUGAAUGUCAAAUAACUGUCUAAUCCAUAGAUGAAGUUGACAAGAAACACAAGCAACAUCUAUGGUGUAUCCAUUAAUGUCCAUAGAUGAAGUUAAAAAGAAACAGAAGCAACGUCUGUGGUGUGUCUAUAUAAUGUCCUUGUAAGUUCGUUCUUUAUAUUGGUAACGAUAAGAAUACAGACAAUUUCCACAACUAAUUUUGUCACUGGUUAUAUGAAAGCAAUCGUAAAGUUGAAUCAGAAACUCACGUCGAGAGAAUAGUAACCCAAACCAGUUCGACACAGUCCACCCAAAGGAGUCUUUGCUCAAGAGGAAUAACGCCGUAAGUUAUUAGGUGAGCAAAUGGCCAAAGUUUCCACCCUGCCUGAAAGAUAUAAGAACUGAUUUGGUAUUCUCAAAGAAAUCAUCUCUGCUAAACUAGAGUUUUAUACAAGUACCAGAACAACAAAGAGUUGUAUUAAGAGAAGAACAGUCUCGAAACGUUUUGUGGUUCAUCUGAAAUGACAUAUCAAUCCAAAACUUCAAAUUUAAAUAGCUUUACACAAUAAUAUAGGUAAACGAAAAGACAUGGAGUACUUUCUGUGCUCAUGAUGUCAAACAUCUUCUUUCUUUUAUGAGUAGUAAAAUUUAACUUUUCUCCUUUUGGUGGAUUGGAAGAUGGAAAUCAGGCCGCUGAAACAUUUUCUUCGUUAGAAACAUGCAGGUCAUAUUAGAUCUCUCGAUUAGCAUUGAUCAGUAUCAUUAUUCUUAGGAUUUCCAGUACCUCAUGGCAAUGAUAAAAAGGAUAAAUCAUAAAACAAAAAAAGACAACAAUAUAUUGGCAUUGAAGAUAUAUUCAGCUUCAUAUCAAACCAAAUUUUAACAGAUCAAACAGUAACAUGGACUAACUUCCGCUGAAACAGCGAAAACCAAGUCAAAAAUCUUGAGCUAAUAAUACCCGGUUAUAGCUAUAUUCAUCUCCAGAUCAUUAAAUAUUGCAAUCAUUUAAGAUAGACCGAAAGAAUGCCUUACUGUUAACAUGGGCAAAAACGUGGCUCUAAGUUCGCCAAAAAUAUUGGAUGCAGAUUCGAGACGCAAGAAACCAAGGACAACAAAAUAGAUGCUAUUCCAAAUUGCUGACCAAAUGGUUUGGUCAAAAGCAACUUUAGCUGGAACCACCCACCAAUCGUUGGACGGGAAAAGAGCCUGUACAUUAGAGUUGAACCUUUUAGGUUUCAUCAAAAUAUGUCAAAAGAUAUGGCUGUUCAUUCAAGAUACAAGCCAGAAGCAUCACCUCACAAAAUUGGUAAUAGUAGUGGGAAAGGGAACCAUGAAGUGAAAAUCCAACAAGACCAGAUCUAAACAUGCGAGUCCGGUCAAAUUCAAGAAGAGGCUUUCCUUCAUAGCACUGUAAAUCAACAGAACAAAAUGAAACAAUUUAGAUUAAUGAAAACAGCUCUCAAUAUUUCGGAAGAGUUUAACUUCCACAAACUGAUGGUAUACAAAAGUUUUACACUGUCAAAUCACUUAAAAGAUAACUAUGUGUAACUAUCAGACGGUACUUACUUGAGCGGUCCAGUCUCCUACAGAGUAGACAAUACCACUAAUCGCCAUUUUAGCCAACACAGGAUUUGCUUUCAGCGCUUCUUCAUAUGCAAUCCAGUUGUGCUCCGGGGCAUACCUCAGUAUCUCGUAAAGGGUCCAUCCCUGAGUACACAAUCAAUAAAAUUAAAACCAUACGGGGGAGCAGGCUACUAUAUGUUGAAUUGUGCGAUCAUGUCAGAGACACUACACUUUUAUUUACUUAAUUAUAUAUCUUCAACUCGCGCCCUCACAUCCAGACCUGAUUCUUCUCCACGGUUCAAGGACGUAAAAGUUGUUUUACCUGAUUCUUCUUCACGGUUCAAGGACGCAAAAGUUGUUUUUGAUAAAGGGCGGCGGUGAGAUUUAGACCUUAACCCAGCCUUGUUAGCAUGUCGUAUUUUGUGACUAUUUCAUCUAAAAGCUUAAAUUGCUAUGAAGUAUAAACUUCUAUUUACUUAAUUUAUCAGUUCAGUAAACUUAGUUCAUUCCUUUUGUCAUCAUUUAUCCCAGUGACAAAGCCAAUUCUACUAUUACCUUUAUGAUCACCAGUACAGAAGAAAAUCCAUAAAAUAUAUAUAUUCUUUCCUCGUCAAUUUGUUUAGCAUACUUUCCUUUUUAGUCCGUUUCAAAACGGAUGUUCUUUCUUUCUUCAUCAACUCUUUAAUUCUUUCUACGUGAUCGAAAGACAUUUUGAUAUAAUCUACAUAUCUUUACUAUAAGCCACAACAGUCAAAAGUCAUUAUGUCAAGUCAAAACGAGACAAAACAUAUUUAAUUACAAAUCCACUAACUAGUAAACACAAGCAAACGAAUACAUAAACUUCAAAUCCUAAUUCCAAUUCUGAAAUCACACAAGGGGGCACCCCCCCCCCUUUUUUUUUCCUUUCCAGAUAUGAAAUAUCCAAAAGCAAACAAGAUCAAAAUGAUAGAACUUACAUGCCAAUACUCAUGAUCUAUGGUGAGUAACCUUGUGACAGCAAGUGUACCAGCACCAAGCACAAUUGAAGCAUUAAAAAACCUAUCUUUAUCCAACAAAAUGUACAAGAAGCUAUUCUUGAUUUUUUCUUCAAUUUCAGUUCCAUUUGAUUCUUUCUUUUCAUUUUCUUGGUUGGCCUCUGCUUCUUUAUCUUCUGUCACAGCAUUUAUUGAACAAACAAGACUUGUUCUUGAUGGGGUUUUUGGUAUAUUAUGUAUGGUGAAAGUUGGAGAAAAGUUGAUGGAUAAAGUUUGAGUCUUUCUGGAUUCUUGAAAGGAUCUUUUUGAGGAAGAAGAGAGGAUAUGAGUAGCAAAAUUGUUGACUGCUGACAUGAUUGGUUUGUUAUUGCAGAAGAAGAAAAAAAACAAGUUUGAAUGGGAAAUGAAUUUACUUUUUGUAGGUAUUUGAGGGGUGGGGUUACUCCUAGAAAAAAAAAGAAAAUGUUUUACGUAUUAAACCGAACUCAAUAUUUUUAGCUCAAAUAUAUAUAUUCAUUUUGAAACAAUUUAUUUUAUAAGGUAUUUUAUGCAUAAUGUAAUACAUAAGACAUGUGUGUUUACUUGCUUAUUAUUCUCUCCGUUUUAAAAAAAAGGUCUAAUUUGACUUAAAACGGAGUUAAGAAAAAAAAAAAACUUAUGUCAAAUGUAUCAAAGUACCCCCACGUGAAAAAAAAUAUUUAUUUUUACUUGUCCAGUUUUUAAAAAUUGAGAUUUAAGUGUUAAACCAAAAAAUUUGAAAAAAUAUUUAGGUUCUACCGAGACUUGAACUCGGGCUAUUGGAUUCAGAGUCCAAUGUCCUAACCACUAGACCAUAGAACCCCUUUUGUCUUCAUAUCUUAACAUUUUAUUUUAAACUAAACUCAAAUAAUUUUAUUAUAGACACUUUCUAUUUUCCAUCUUUGAUUUUUAAAAUAAAAUUUUCAAAACUUUAUAUAUAUAUAUAUAUAUAUAUAUAUAUAUAUAUAUAUAACAAGUCAUGAUAAGUAUUUAAGGAUAUAAAUAUGAAAUAUCUAACAGAAAUAUUUUAAAAGGGUUAUUCAAUUAUUUCUUCGUUCUUUUAAGUUGAAUUUUAAAUAUGAUUUUUUAUAUAAUGGAUAAUUUGAUCUUCACGAAUAGUUAAAUACUUCAAUUUCUAUUGUACUAUUUAAAAAUAUUAACUUAAUACAACUAUAUUUCAUGAGUACUUUAUCGUUGAAUGAUACAUUUUUAAAAUUAGAAUUUAUCUUUGAAUCAAAAGAUAUUUAAAGAUGACUAUCGAGCUAGCAAAUGUGAGAUGAGGUGAGUUUAAAGCUAUGUGAGGCCAAACACGUUUAACGUUAUGUCAUGUACAUUUUUAAGAUUCAAACUUAUUUUUGAAUCAAAAGAUGUUUAGGAAUGAUAAUAGAACGGAUACAUAUGAAACGGACGAAUUUAAAGUUAUGUGGUGCAAAAUAAAUUUAAGGUUAUAUAAAACGAAAAAAAGGCAAACGAGUCGAAAUGAGUUUUUCUUAAAAUUAUACGAACCGAGACGAAUUAUGGGUAUAUGUGAUUUUAUGUCUGAUCAAAUAUUAUGUUUAGUUGCCAAAAAAACUAAAGAAAAUAAGUUGAGAAAUUGUUAAAAUGUUCUUCUUCCCCAAACUGAAGAAGUGAGAAAAACCCUUAAAUCCCACCUUUCUGCCAUUGCUGCAACUUCAAGAAUCACCACUAACCUCAGCAAUGGCACAAACAAAUUUUCACCCUUCACACAAUCAAUCACUCAACCAAAUACUUCGCAGUUUCAAACAAGUUACGAUCGAUUACAUCAAUCCUCUGUAUCCGUUUAGAUAUAUUAAGACUCAUUCCAUUAAAAAGAUUCCUCUUUUCCGAAUGCCCAUAUCGGAAAAAUCAUGUAUUUACUUGAAUUUCACUUCAAAACCCAAAUGGGUAUUCACGUAUUCUAACAUUCCAUCUCCAGAAUGGGUGAAUUUUCCUCUUUUUCGAGUUCCCAAAUUCAAAAAACCGUAUUUUUAUGUAAAUUUCACUUCAAAACCCAAAUGGGUAUUCACUGGUUCUAACCUUCCACCUCCAGAAUGGGUGCAGCCAUUCGUUGAUCUUUCUGACUUAGUUACAGACCGAAAAGAUCUCAAACCGUCGCCAUGGGUGUCUCAAAUUUUGAAUCUUUUAGAUAAUUCACCAUUGAUGGAGCAGAAUUUAGAUGUUUAUUGUUGCAAAUUUCUCAUUAAAUUAUCGCCUAGUUUUGUUGCAUAUGUAUUGAAGUCAGAUUACCUUACAGGUAAACCCGAUAUCGCGUUUCGUUUCUUUUAUUGGGCUGGUAAGCAAAAAGGGUAUGCUCAUAAUUGUGAAUGCUAUGUGUUUUUAGUUAAGAUUUUAUCUGCUUCAUGUGAAUUGGAUAGGAUUAAGCAUGUGUUUAGUGAAUUUAAGCAUAAAGGUUUCUUGAUGAAUGUGGCAGCUGUUAAUUCUUUGAUUAGGAGUUUUGGAGAACUUGGGAUGGUUGAAGAAUUAUUAUUUGUGUGGCGACAAAUGAAAGAAAAUGGUAUUGAGCCUAGUUUAUAUACGUAUAACUUUUUGAUGAAUGGACUGGUGAAUUCUAUGUUUGUUGAAUCUGCCGAACGCGUUUUUGAGGUUAUGGAAAGCGGGAAAGUUAAUCCGGAUAUUGUUACGUAUAAUACUAUUAUUAAGGGGUACUGCAGAUCUGGGAAGCUUCAAAAAGCAAUGGAGAAAUUUAGAGAUAUGGAGGUUAGGAAAGUAGAGCCUGACAAGAUUACCUACAUGACUGUGAUGCAAGCAUGUUACGCGGAUGGAGAUUUUGAUUAUUGUUUGGGACUCUAUCACGAAAUGGAGGAAAAGGACUUGGAUAUUCCACCACACGCUUAUACGUUAGUGAUUGGAGGGCUUUGUAAAAUGGGGAAGGUUUUGGAAGGGUUUACUGUUUUUGAAAAUAUGAUCAAGAAAGGUUUUAGACCUAAUCUGUCAAUUUAUACUGCUCUAAUUGAUUCAUACAUGAAACAUGGAAACUUGGAUGAGGCUAUGAGACUUUUUGAUAGAAUGAAGAAUGAAGGAUUUGAACCGGAUGAGGUAACGUUUGGGGUUAUUGUAAAUGGCUUAUGCAAGAGUGAGAGGUUGGAUGAGGCCAUGCUGUGGCUUGAGUACUGUAAAAAUAACGAUGUAGCUAUCAAUGCCAUGUUUUAUUCAAGUCUUAUUGAUGGUCUAGGAAAGGCAGGGAGAGUUGAUGAGGCCAGAGAACUCUUUGAGGAGAUGGCUGAGAAGGGAUGUACACGUGAUUCUUAUUGUUAUAAUGCACUUAUCGAUGCCUUGGCCAAAAAUGGGAAAAUUGAUGAAGCUUUGGUGCUUUUUAAGAGAAUGGAAGAUGAAGGUUGUGAUCAAACAGUUUAUACAUACACAAUAUUGAUCAGCGGCAUGUUUAAAGAACAUCAAAAUGAAGAAGCACUUAAAUUGUGGCAUAUGAUGAUUGAUAAGGGUAUAACUCCAAAUGCUGCUUCUUUUCGAGCCCUUUCAACUGGGCUUUGUCUUUCUGGCAAGGUGGCUAGAGCAUGUAAAAUAUUGGAUGAGCUGGCACCAAUGGGUGUUAUCCUGGAGACAGCUUUUGAAGAUAUGAUAAAUGUUCUAUGCAAGGCAGGUCGUUUAAAAGAGGCUUGCAAAUUAGCUGAUGGGAUUGUGGAUAGAGGUCGAGAAAUUCCUGGAAAAGUUCGUACUGUUUUAAUUAAUGCAUUGAGGAAGACAGGGAAUGCUGAUAUGGCAGUGAAGUUGAUGCAUAGUAAGAUUGGCAUUGGAUAUGAUAGGAUGGGUAGCAUUAAAAGGAGAGUAAAGUUUCGAGUUUUGGUUGAAAGCUGAGGCAUUGGAUAAAGGGUAGCAUUAAAAGGAGAGUAAAGUUUCGAGCUCUGGUUGAAAAGUGAGGUGAAAACUGGAUGUUAGGGUUACUAUUGGGACAUUCAAGUUUGCUAUUAUGCUGUCAUGUGUGGUUAUUAGUGAAAUAUUCUGAGGCAAAACAGACAAAGAUGUGACUGGAGAAGCAAUGAACAUGUCAUUUGACAAAGCUAUGCAUAUCUGCCACUUUAUGGAGUUCUAACAAGCAAAGCAAGAGGUAAAGUUGAUUGAAAAUUUUGUCAAUGGAGUGUCUGACAAUUCAUGUUGCUUGCGUUAGAUCUGCCUUCUUUUGUUGAAACUGGAAGUAGUGUAGGGUAGCGUCACAGUCAACUCACAAAUUCUGAAGUGCAAUCUUUUCCGUAAUUCUGGUUAAGCCUGAGAGAUAUUUGAAGACGCCGACCACCUCUGUUGAUUUUAAAUACUUCAUCAAACUCUGUGACACCUAAAAUUGAUGGAUGGGAUUAUAUUAGUUACCAUCUUUCAAAGAUUCUUCUCAUAAGGUUUAUGCCUCCACCUUAUGCUUUCUAUCAGUUGAUUCAGCAGUUCUUGCAAUUCAUUCAAAUAUGGUACUCCCAGACAACUUAUCUCAUACUUGUUGUAAAAGAGGUACUAUCACAAUUCCAGGCUGCAGUUGCUGAAGUAUAAGCAGCUGGUAGAAUGCUUAUGUUUCUUUGUGGAGGUGACAAGUCAUCAUACGAUAAGUGUACCUUAAUCUUAAACCAUGUAUUGGAACUUAAGGACAUCCUACCUUGCCAGAUACUUCACAGAAGCUGAAAUUCAAACGCUUCUGGCUGUUGGCUUUUUUGGUGUAAUAUAUAUUAUGUAAAGGAUGAACAAUCUUAAAAACUUUAGGACUUCCUACCUUGCCAGAUACUACACAGAUGCUGAAAUUCAAAUGUUUUUAGCUGUUGGUGUAAUAUGUAUAAUACAAAAGAUGAACGUAGCAUGCUAAAUUUCAUAGGAUCUUUACAAGAAUGGGUUUUUGUAGAGCAGGAUUCCUUCUGUUUUUGUUUUUUUGUAAUGAAGGAUCUCUAACCAGUGUACUGCCUUUCACUAUCAUGGUUUUAGGCUGCUCUAUUUAUAUUUUUGUCUACCUAUUCAAUUUUGAGCAUAAUUCCUUCGUUUUCAUUUUUUCACUUAUCAAUUUUGAGGGCAAGGACAAAAGUCUAAGUUCACUUCUCCAAUAGGGGUCUCAGAAACAAUGUAUUUUUUUUUUUGAUAACUCAGCAAGAAUAUUACUAAUUUCAAAAACCAGCUAUAAGAUAUGAUGAGAGUAUGCAAAAGCUGACUCAGUCAGGUUUUCCCAAUUAAUCCUGUAGUGAGGUCGGAAAUCUCACUGGGUAUCCACUUCAUUCACAUUUUGAAGAUUACAUCAGAUAGUGACUGCAUACAAGCACUUGAAUUCAAGGUAUGUACAGAGUCAGCUUUGUCUUCUAAACAUCUGCGGUUUCUUUCCUCUUUACAACUAAUGAUUGAUAACUACAUCAGUGUGGCUUCAACAUAUAUGAUUUCUUAUCAUUUGGAAUUGUCCCAUUAAGUAUCCUCCAUAUUUUCUUUCUCUACAUUUUGUUUUACACAAUUAUAGUAAUAUAGUGUCUGGCUUUGAUUCUCUCUAAUGCUGAUUCACUUGUUCUUCAGCACUCGCAGCUCAACACUUCGUUAUAUUUAUUUUUUGACAAGGGCAGUGUCCUUGUCAGCUUACACACACUUGAAGUAUUUCACCGUUCUUUCCAACUAAAAUUGAAAGGAUUGUAUUACAUGGAGAUGUCGAUUUGUUUUUCACAGUAUACCUGCUGGUAAAGCUUGGGUAGAUGUGAAGAAUUUACCUAUAUUUUUUUUUUUGCUUCUGGUGCAAUUUGAACACUAAUUUAUUGACUGCUAGGCCACACCCUUGGAAUUAGUUUCAACACUCAUUUUGAUUAAUGGCUCCAUUUGAUAAUAUGCAGGCAAUUGAUUUUAUAGUCUUUAUGCUUCUUAGCGACAUCAAUUGUGUAAUUAGUUGCACUUUGACACUCAUGUCUUAGUUGCUAUAUUUUUUCUUCCUUCGCCAAACCAUGCUUUUGUUUAUCGAAAUCUUGCUUAUAUGUUAGAAGCUAUUUAUCUAAAUGUCUCAACUCCAAUCAGGAUAUAGCCUUUUGGGGAAUAGGUACUUGCAGUUGCUGUAAAUUUAUUUAUCACUUAUUGCUGGGCCCAGGAAGAUGUCCGCAUACACGGAUGACCAAGAAUUUACUUCUUUACAGAUUCUCGCAUGCAAGAAGAAAUAUUUGAUAUGGGGAUAGGGAAGUGGGAGCUGAAAGUCUAAAACCCAGCAGCAGAUGUAACUAAUAUUUUCAGCAGGCAUUUCCUGUACAACAAGUAAAGACACAUUGUUGUUUGGAACUUGGAGUGGACCCUUGGUGCACCUAUGAAGACUGGAGCAACGUGACCAACCUGUUUGUUUCCAAGUCAUUUCUGAGGUAAAAUGUUCUUGAGAUCUUUUAUCUAAAAUGACUAAUUAAAUUUAUUGGCACAUAUGAGAACAUUACGAGGGAUAGUCGUACAGAAGUAGCAGCAGGACAUUGAGACUUAAAAUAAUGCCUACAUGUUGUCCAUUUUCCACUGCUGUACAUUUGUUUCUGUACAUUGGUUGAGUGGCAAAGAGAAUUUUGCACUGUGCUCUGUCAUCUUUGUUUUCUAACGUCUAACAUCACUCGAAGGAGCUGCUUUUCAGUUAAAAACAUCCACAACUGCAGUCACUGUAAUAGGACCAAUUUGCAUGUUCUACCAUCUGUGACAUUUGUAGAAAUAUACCUCUAUUGCUUAUCCAUUCCAGUGUUGUCAAAGUCGUGUUUAAGCCUUGAAACGAGGCUCAAAAUGUGUAGAUCGGUUUGCCUUGUUUAAUGUGCGCUUUAGUGUGGUCAUCAAGGUUCUAAGGCAUAUUUUUUCUAGCCAACUCUUCUCUUCCGGAGAGACGACAUAAAAAAUUAAUAUUUUACUUUAUUGUAAUUUCUUUUCAAUUUCUUUGUUCAUAUAUUUGUCAUUUAUGUUUAUAAUUAUUAUUCUUGGAAUAUAUAUAUAUAUAUAUAUAUAUAUAUAUAUAUAUAUAUAUAUAUCUAUAUAUAUCUUUGCACCUUUUUUCAGUGAAGCUCACGCUAUAUUUGUGCUUAAACCCUCGAUUGACCUCAAAGUUUAUUUUGUGCUUUUUCGUUUGAUAAAACUGAUCCAUUCAUAUUCAUUCAGCCACACCAUAUGGAAAUUAUUAUUUGAUGGAAUAUGCCAAAGACAAUAUUUGAUAAUUUCAACAUAAUAAUUACUUGCUUGCUAUAUGCUCACACUCUCUAAAAAUGUUGUAUCCGUGUUAGAUCCUCCCAAAAUGAACUAUUUUUGGAGGAUCCUACACGCAGUUGGCAAUAUUUUUGAAGAGUCCGAACAAACAUAAAUUCCUUGAUCAUAAAGACAAUUUUGAUUUAUAGGUAAAAGUAAUGAGUUUAGGUGUGCAUAUAUCUUUUAGCACAACUUUAGAAAUUCAAUACUCACUCCGUUUCAAGAAGAAUGACCUUAGUUUGACUUGGCACAGAGUAUAAGAAAAUAAAAAAGAUUUUUCAAUCUUAUGGUCCUAAAUUAAUGUUAAUUCAAAUGUACAAAAGGGCCCUUUAAUCUUGUGGCUCUAAACAUGCCACGUGAAAAAUUGAAGAAAUAUGUGUCCUUGUUAAACAGACUAUAAAGGAAAGUAGGUCAUUCUUUUUUAAAUGAAGGGGUUAUGUUUUAACGGCCUUAAGCUCCUUGUUAUCAAGCAAGAUGUGUCCAUGUCAAGUGCUUGUUGUAUGGAGUACAUUGGAACAUGGACGAGCCAUCGUGAUCUAUAUUUAUUUAUAUACAGGUAAAUUUCAUUAUCAAGAAAGAUGCUCUUCAUUAGGAGUAUUUGUUUAGUGAAUUAACUUUUUUAUUAGGAUCACAAAAUGCAAUAUGCGGUAUCUAAAUUUUCAAUAGUGGAGAAAGCUAAACCAUACAUAUCUUGAAAAGAGCAGAUAUCCUUUUCACAUUCUGCUAGAUCAUUGAAUCUUAGUGCAUGAUAACUUGGAAGUCACCUCUAAAGAAAUGCAUAAUGUAUGGGGAAAUUCCUUUCUUUAGUAUAGAUUUUGGUAUUAUCUCUUUAGUUUUUUGUGGUAUGAAUCUAUGGUACAAUGGCAAGUUGAUUACUCUGUCUUGUAUGGAAAAAUACGUGCAUUUGUUCUGGAUAGUGACCUCCUGAAUUUGAUUUAUAGGCCACUUGCAGAUUUUUUUUGGAUUUUCUUUUUCCUUCCUCCUCAAUAAACUUAUUAGCUACUUAGAGAGAUAUUUAUAUAUUUGUUUCUUCUUGUUUUACCCCUACUCCUUGAAGGGAGAGGGGGUCUGUGCAAGUGUCACCUGUUGUGUAUUGCAUAUUGAUUUUACUGGACAAUCUAGACAUGAUUGGGGAUAUCAUCUGCUCUAAUAUGCCUCUAGGAUGAGGGGAACGUUGUAAUUAGGCAGCGUCUACAUAUGGAGUAUGAUUUUUUUCUGUAAAUAUUGUUCUCAACUUGAACUAUUCGGAUGCUAGUCUUGUUUUUCUCGUUUUAAUGACCGAAAAAUCUGUGUGGGAUAAACAACUGCCUUUUUGGAACUCAGAAAUGACGGGCUGGCCCCCUAAUCCUUUUCCAUACAGAGUACACUUGUCACUAGUCAAUGAAUUACAAUUGAGCCCAGUGGUCCUGAAACUAGUGCAAUGGCAAGAGUAAGUGCAUGGUCCCUAUUAUGAAUAAUCAUUUAUGUGUCAUUAUAACUUGAUGUGAAUAUUAGUGCGGGUAAUUAAUUUUUCCUGGACAAAGCUCAUUGCUUGUCGGCAAAAGAGAAAAAAAAAAAAACUCCCCUCAAUAACACCUAUGUUGGAGAGACAUAGAGGAUUUAGUACUGUGUUUUUGAGUCUUAACAUAAUUUGAUCCUUGUCAGAUUCUGCUGGAUAUUGAAAUCUUUCAUCAGAUGGUUUGGCUUGGGACUUCCAUAACAGGGGUCUCAAGUUGGAAAACCGUUGCUUGCGACAACAGGGGGUUGAGCCCAUCAACACAAGGCUUGCCUAGUGCAGUUUACCUCUCCUGUGUGGUUUGCAAACUAUUGCACAGGAGUGAAAACUGCGGGUUCCCUUGUCACUAAAAAAAAAGAGUUAACGUACCUUACUUUUAGUAUAUAUUUUCGUAUCUUUUAUCUCUUCGGUUGUUUAUGGUAUGAGACAAUGUUUAGUUGUUUUCUCUGGCCCUACAUGAAAUGAAAGAUGUGUAUUGUUUUGGACAGUGACCUGAAAUUUUUUCUGGAUUUGUCAUUUGCUUCCUUCUGAAUAGCUACUUGGAUCUUUAUGGAUUUGUUCCGUCCUCUUUGUGCCCACACCCGCGUGAUAGUGGGGUGUGUGGGGGUGGGUGGGUGGGGGGUGUCAGAGUUCGAUAAAAUUUCAUGUCGUACUCAGUUUGUACCUAAGUUUUUUUUCGAAUUAUUUAACGUAUACAUAGUUUUGGAAAACAUCACAGUGAACACACUUCUUCUAUAGUAAUUGUUUGAAUCUAUAGUUUGAUGAAGUGUUCUUGAAUCUUGAAUAUGAAAGUUUAGUUUAAAUCAAGUAGAUAUUGGAAAAAACUUAUAUUAUUUGGGAACCAUCAUUAUUGAAAAAUGAGUUAGUUUUGACAAAUUGAUAAUUUCUUUAUGAUAUUUGAAACUUAUAUCUCAAAUUUGAGCCUAUUUGGAACAUUAGACAUAUAAAGAAAAUAAACAUCAGCCACAUAUGAUUGGAUUUAGGUCGUAAAAAUUGCUUGAACUUCGAUCAUAUGUGCACGAGGUUCAUGCAAAAAUGUUCGAGUUUUAGCCAUAUAUGCAUGAAGUUCAGUAGUGUGUGUGACCUUUUAACGUCAGAUAUAUGUCGAUCUUAUCCCUGUUAAAGUAAAAUGAAUACAAUUGAGCCUAGUGGUCCAAAAUUAGUGCAGCAAAGAGUCAAGUGCAUGGUCCCUAAUAUGAAUAAUCAUUCUUCUUAUAUCUACCCCACAUAAAAUAAAGAUGUGUGUGUACACACUAGUAAUUGCAUGACAUAAGUUUGUACCUAAAAUUUUAUCGAUUAACUCGUUUUAAUUAAUGUAUGUUCUCACAUUAUUUUGUUAUAUAGUCGUAAUGAGUUAAUAUAGUCGAAACCCCUUGUCAGCAAAAGCAAGAGGUCUGUUUUUUGGAUUGAGAUCGUCGUACCAGACUUGUUUAGUGCGGGUUAAAUCUCCUAUGUGGUUUGCUAGCUAUUGCAUAGGAGCGUGGGGUUUUAUCUUUUGCGCACCCAAAGGAUAGCGGCUGCGGGUUUUUCUUGUCAUUAAAAAGAAUUUAAUCGAGUAUGGUGUAAGCAUUGGUUACGUAUAAGUUUUUUGAGCUAGUUGUGUAUUGGGAAAAGAGGAAAAGAACAUCUACCCAUACUAUCCUAUGUAUGGAGGGACAUAUUUAUCAGCUCCAAGUACAAUGAAUUGAAGUCAUAAUCAAUUCAUUGUAUAGUUGGUGUUCCGAGGUCCGCAUUGAAGCUCUAAUUAAAUGUGUAUCGCGUAAUAUAGGGCACAUAGGGGAUGAUGUUUUUAAUAGGAUUUUUUCUAUAUUCAGAGCUCGAACUUGAGACUUUUGGUUAAGGAUUGAGACUUCUAGUUAAGGGUGAAGCAAUCUCACGAAGACAUCAUUGCACCGCAACACAUGUUAUAGGUAAACUUAUUUCGAGAUCUUCAAAGAAGACACAAUUUUCUUUUCCUAAAUCAAAUAUAAAGAAUUAUUGUUAGCUAAUAUUGUUUACUAUUGUCUUUAUUUUAAUUUAUGUCAUACUUUUCUUUUUAUAAAAAAGAAUGAUGUAAUGUUUUUAUAAUAUAUAAUAAAUUGAUUUUUAAGCUUUUAUUUUAUUUUUGAGAUAAUUUAGAAAAAAAAUAUACCUCUCAACUAAAUAAAACCCUAUAUUUUACUUCGACUGUCCACUUUAAUUUGAUUGUUAUGACUUUUUUUAGAGUCAAACGAUGAGAACUUUGAUUAAUAUUUCAUGAUAUAUUUUUUCAUCAUUUUAAUAUGUAAAAAUUUCAAUCUAUAGUACUUUUCUUAUAGUUUUCGAAUAUCUAAAUGUUUUGUUUAAAAUAUCGAAUUAGUGUAAUCUACUUUAACUUUGAGAAUUAGUCAAAUUAACUUUCGAAAAAUCAAAAUAUGAUAAUUAAAUGAGGAUGAGGAAAGUAUAAUUAUGGUUUAGUUUGUGUAUAUAAAAAAAAUCUCUCGAUAAUCUAUAAUUAAGCAAAUAUCUAUCGUUAUUUUUAUGUUAAAAAAGGUACAAUUUUCCCAUUUUAUCUCUAGAAAUAUUGUCUUUAGCAAAACAAUCAAUAAAGGUCCCAACUUAUCCUGACACAAUUGGUACCAUUAGAAAUUAAAUUUAAUUGAAUUUAAGAAACAAAAAUAAAUAAAUAUCAUGGAAUGAUAGGAAAACAUUCGAAUUAUUUUUUCAUAUUUUAAUAAUCAAAAUUUAGAAAACAAGUUUUUUAAAAAUGAAAAAAAUUAACUCCUUUAAGAUGGAGUAGGUAAAAUAAAUUUCACAAAUAUAGAGUUUCGUAUUGAUUGUGUCUUCACACCCUCAAAUGCACCUCAUCUUCAUCUUUACUCCCGUAACCCUCACCCCUACCCAACCAUUCCCACCCCUCGACAGUAUUUGCCAAGAUUAUAUACGAACUCUUUUAGGAUAAUAGUUUUUUACUCGCUUACAUACCAAAAAUUUUUUUUUAAAAAAAUUAAAAAAUUAUUUCUUUAUCUUCUAUCUUUGUCUCCAUAGACCUUUGUGUGGUGUAUAAAGCAUCGUACUAAAAUCACUCUUAUGACAAAAAUUUAAGUACACUUAAUGUGUGUGUAUAUAUAUAUAUAUAUAAAUAAAUAAAGGGAAAAGAGCUUGAUAUAUCCUUUAAUUUUGUCAUUUAGAGUUCAUAAAUUCUCGUUAAGAAAGUGGCUCAUACAAACCCUUAUCAUUAUAUAAGUGGCUUACAUGUUUAAUGUUCAGUUUUACACACGUAUUUUUUUCAGAAAUUUAUCGCCAUUACAAAGGAAAAUUGAUAAACUGCAUCAGAUCAAUAAAUCAAAUCAAACACACUUAAAAGAGCUUGUAAGUUUAGAGAUGUUACAAUAAUGAUUAUAGUUAUAAGAGUGUUAUUAACUAUUAAGUGUAAAAACUUUUUUUUUUUAAAAAUAUAAUCUUCAAAUAUCAAAAAUGUGUUCCUUUCCUUAGAGGGAAGGGACCCAAAAUGAAAAAGUUUUGAAUAAAAUGAAAUAAAUGGCAUGAUAAACUUCGAUAAAUACUUAACUUAGAUGUCGUGAUAUCGUAUUAUCAAAAGGUUUGGUGCAAUGAAUGAAACUAUUUUUUCCUUAAUCGAAAGUAUUAGUUAUAUAAAAGAAUCAUUUAUAAGGACCGCUACCUUUGAAUGGGCGUUACUUGGCCUGAAUCCCCACUAAUCGAACUCCAUUAUAAAUACGGAACACCAAAAUAAAAAAUCUCCCAAAAAGAUAAUAUCUUGAUAAUCAAAUAUUUCAAGUAGUCGAUAAAAUUUUCUUUAUAUCAAAUCAAUUCAAAUAAAUCUCAAAAAAGUUUAAUCAUGAGAAAUAUAUAACUCUGUCAUAAAAAAAUUAAUUGAAAAAGAAGAAUUAUGAGGGUAAUAUAAUUAUACCCACAAUGUUUGUUGAUAAAACUACAUUUCUUUGUAUUUCACUUAUGGUUGUUGUUCAUGUUCCAUUAUUUUUAAUUUUUGUUGAAAACACUUACUAAUUAAUUUGAAAAUAUUGAGAAAUAUUUUAUUCUCAGUAUUUUAUUACAACAUUAUGAAAAUUCAUAAGAGUAGAGUUAGUAAUGCAUAAAUUAAAAUACUUUUUCUAGUUUGUAUAAAAAAUACUUUAAAAAAUUAUAAUUUUAAACAUGCUACAAUAAUGAUAUUGUUAUAAGAGUGUGAUAACUACUAUUUGGUAUGAAAUUUUAAAAUAUAAAAAACGUGUUUUUUCAUUGGUGAGAAGGAACUGAAAAAAAGAAAAAAUUAAAGUUUUGAAUAAGAUGAAAUAAAUAGUAUAAUAAAGUUUGGUGGAUACUUAACUUUUUGAUUUCAUGGCUCCACCAAAGGAUACGUUGAAUAUGGUGGAUAUGAGCUAUUUUUUCUUUAAUUAUGAGUUUCGAUCAUUUCAAGUCGUGAUAUGAAAAAAUUAUUAGUAGGGAGUGUUAUCGUCAAAUAAGCUUUACCUGACGUAAAUCUGCAUUAAUCAAAUUCCAUGACAGAUAUCGAACAACGAAUAUAGAAAACCCCCCAUCCCCUUCUAAAUGACUCGAACAUACAAUCUUAGAAUUGAAUGUGGAAAUUAGCUACUUACUAUUGGAGCAAAGCAAAAUGCAAUAAUUGAGUAUAUUAUAAAGGGAUUAAGGACAUAGAUAUCCUGAAUUAUCGUAAAUGAUAUGCAAAUAUCCUCCGUUAUACUUUUAGGCUUCUGUCGUCCAAAAACUAGAGCAUAUUUACCCUUUAUACUAACGGACAUACACGUGUCAUAAUUUUAUCCACCGAUCCGACAUUUAUGGAAGGAUAAGACUGCACCACGUGUCCCUAUUUUGUCUUUCGUUAGAGUGAAAAGCAUAUACGCUCUAAUUUAUGGACGAUAGGGUCACUAAUGUCCCAAAAGUAUGACGUAGGAUAUUUGCAUACUAUUUAUGAUAGUUCAGAGGUAUAAGUGUCCUUUUUCUCUAUUAUAAUAGAGAAAACAACAGAACUUGUUAUUGUAGUAAAUUUAUUAUCCACAUCAUUAAAUAUCAAAUACUAUUCACAUAAAAAUUCUGGAUACGCCUCUGAACUCAACAACUAGACUUCUGACAUAUAAAUAACUUAGAACCUCACAAUGAGGUGUCAUUUUUUAACAUGAAAGCCACUCAUCAAUCUCAACAACUAUUAGCCCAAAACACUUCAUAUAUAUACAUCUUCUGCUGGCUACAUUUUUAGCCUAGCAAAUGGAACCAUCACUAGAUAAGUCCAAUUAUUACACUGACACUGAUGAAAUGAUCAAUUGGUUCGAAAAAUCCGCCGAAAAUGCUGCCGCUGUACAGCGGCAGACGCUUCGGCGGAUUCUUGAACUCAACCAUGGUGUUGAGUACCUAAAAAAAUGGCUUGGAGAUAUUAGACUUCAAGAUGAAAAUGCUAUGGAAUCACUUUAUGCUACUAUGGUUCCUCUUGCUUCUCAUGCAGAUUUUGAGCCUUAUAUACAUAGAAUUGCUGAUGGUGAAAAAGCUCCUUUACUCACUCAAGACCCUAUGAGAACUUUGUCCUUAAGGUAUACUUUUUUUAAUUUUAUUUUGGAUGGAUAGGGUGUGUGUGGAUGUAGCGGGAUUCGAACCACUAUCACUAUCACUAGAGUGAUGGUGUGGGUAGCUCAUCAACUGAGCUAUAUCAGAUAACAUGUCAACUCAUAUUUUUCUUUAAAUUUGACUCUGUAGAAAUUAUUUUGUAUAGUCAGUGUAUAUAGAGAUAGAUGUAUCUUGUGUUUGAUGUUUUAAUUGAACAAUAUCAUUUUCGACACUGAUGAUUCAAUGGCGAAGCUAUAGUCCAAAAUUACUUUUUAUACAUAUAUAUUAAAUCAUUUGAGCUAUAGUCCACUAUAAGCCAUAUUUUCCUUUUUUAUCGUGUAAAUUUUAUUAUACCGUCAGUGUAUAUAGAGGUGAAUUUAUUGUGUGUUUGAUAAUUUUGACUAAGCUUAUCAUUUCUAACACAUGUGGAUAAAGUCACAUACAGUGAAGGGUGACCACUUAAACACUUGUUCACAUAUUAGAAAUUAUGUUUUUUUAUAGAUAUAUUUUAAUUACUUUUAAGUGAAACUCCUAACUUUGCGACUACAAACAUGGAGUGUAAUAUAUAAGAUGAAAAAUCACAAAAUAUCAAUAUAAAUUAAAUAUAAAUCCAAAAUUUUAAAAUUAUAAUAUGUCAAUGAUAAAACUUUGGAUUAAAUGCUGAAUCUGUUUCUGAAUCUUUACGAAUAACAGUGAAUAAGCACCCUUUUGUCAAUGGAAUAGUUUAUAGCAUGGAAUUAUUUUUUCAUAUACCUAUAUGCAAUAAAGUCAAUAAAUAGAAGCGAUACGAACAGCGUUGAUUCAAUAUCAUAUCCAACUUGUUCAAAAUUGAGACGUAAUGAUUCUUUUUUAAAAUUCUUUUUAGUUCUGGAACCACAGAGGGAAGACAGAAAUUUGUACCAUUUACUCAUCAUAGCUCCCAAACAACUCUUCAAAUUUUCAAAUUGGCAGCAGCUUAUAGAUCAAGGUAUAUAUUUUUUAUAAUACAAAUCUUUUAUAUAUUUUUUUGAAUUAUUUUUAACAAAUUUUAAUAAAACAGGAUUUAUUCAAUAAGAGAAGGUGGAAAAGUUCUUGAAUUUAUAUAUAGUAGCAAACAAACCAAAACAAAAGGGGGAUUAAUAGCAGGAACAGCCACAACACAUUAUUAUGCUAGUGAAGAAUUCAAGAUUAAACAACAACACACAAAGUCUUUUACUUGUAGCCCUGAGGAAGUUAUUUCAAGUGGAGAUUAUAAACAAUCAACAUAUUGUCAUCUACUUCUUGGUUUAUAUUAUUGUGAUGAGAUUGAAUUUGUCACAUCAACUUUUGCAUAUAGUAUAGUUCAAGCAUUCAGAUCAUUUGAAGAGUUGUGGAAGGAAUUGUGUCAUGAUAUAAGAGAAGGUACUCUUACUUCAAGAAUCAACAUAACCAAAGUUCGAAAAGUCCUAUUAGGUAUGUAUCGUUUAAAAGUUUUUUUUAUAGAUAUGUUUUCAUCGAACCAACUCACGUGUGACCCUGACUCUUUUGUUUUCUUUUUCUUGGGCCUACCAUAUGCAAGUUCUUUUACGGUAACGAGCGAUAGUGAGACUUGAAUAUAAGACUUAUAGAUGAUAUUAAUGCUCGAUCAUUUAUAAGUUUAAAAUUUUGUUAGAAAGAGUUAAUUUUAAUUUACUUUACUAUAUUUUCAACACGACCCUUUUCAUGUGCCUUUUUGACUUUUUUUUCUUUAGCCUAUCAAGUUCUUUUAUAGUGAUGAGCGGUAGUGAGACUGGAUUUGUCUCCUUGAUAUUAAUGCUCGAUCAUCUAUAAGUUUAAAAUUUUGUUAGAAAGAUGUAAUUUUAAUUUACUUUACUAUGUUUUCAACACGACCCUUUUCAUGUGCCUUUUUGACUCUUUUUUUUUCUUUAGCCUAUCAAGUUCUUUUAUGGUGAUGAGCGGUAGUGAGACUUGAAUAUAGGAUUUUUCUGGAUUUGUCUCCUCGAUAUUAAUACUCGAUCAUCUAUAAGUUUAAAAUUUUGUUAGAAAGAGUUAAUUUUAAUUUACUUUACUAUGUUUUCAACACGAGCCUUUUCAUGUGACUUUUGACUCUUUUUUUUUCUUUAGCCUAUCAAGUAAAAAAUUUAUUUUAAUAAUGAGUGUUUGUAUAGCUUAAAGAGAAGACCAUAUGCCUACUCCGAUAUUAAUAUUGAAGUGUGUUCGUAACAAUUUUAUUUUAAAAAAUUUAACCGUUAGAAAGAGUAUAUUUUUUAAUUACUUUAUUAUGUCUUCAACACAUUCCUUCAUGUGCCUUGGUUCUUUUUUCUUUGACCUAUCACGUGAAUUUUUAUUUUUAUUUUUAAUAUUGAGUAAUUCUGUAACUUAAACAGAUUGAAAUACGUUGCCAUCUCAUUUAAGAACUUAGAACUUUUAUGGAAAGCACAUGUUUAACUACUUCAUUAUGUCUCCAACACACCCUUCACAUGCCCGCCUCGUUAUUUUUGACCUAGCACGUAAAAAUUAUUUUUUAGUAACGAUUGACUUGAACAAAAGACCUUUUAUCUGCUUUGAUAUCAAUGUUAAAAUAUAGGUAUUUACCAAAAAAAGUAUUCGUUUUUAAUUACUUCAUUAUGUCUUCAACCAGGUAUGAUUGUCCCUAAUCCAGAGUUGGCAUCAAGAAUUGAAUCAAUAUGUGAAGAAGUAGAAAAGGAAAAUUGGGUUAGUAUAAUCCCAAAAUUAUGGCCAAAUGUUAAAUAUGUUUACACAAUAAUGACAGGCUCAAUGCAACCAUACUUGAACAAAUUAAGACAUUAUUGUGGGGAUUUGCCUUUGGUUAGUGCUGAUUAUGGGUCCACAGAGAGUUGGAUUGGAGUGAAUGUGGAACCUUCAUCUCCACCAGAGAAAGUAACUUUUGCAAUUAUACCCACUUUUUCUUACUUUGAAUUCAUACCACUACAUAGAAGUAAGUCUCAAAGUUACAAUAAUAGCCACAAAGAUGCUAAUCUUCUAGCAAAUGAUGAUUUUAUUGAAGAUGAGCCUGUUCCCUUAUCUCAAGUCAAGAUAGGACAAGAAUAUGAAAUUGUCCUCACUACUUUCACAGGUACUAUAUAACAAUUUUUCUUUUUUCUUGUGGUAAAAUAUUUUGUGGGGUGUAUAUUAUUUGUAUCAUUGUUAUUUUAACAUAUACACUUUUUUAAAAAAAAAAAAAAUCUUUGUGUGCUUACCAACUUUGAAAUAUGUGGUGUCUUUAAGUCAUGCCUAACUUCAUACAAAAAUGUCUAGAGUUGUUUUGAAGUUUGGUAGACUUGUAAAUUCUAUAUAUGAAUAGUGAGUAUGACUCAAGUGAUUUUACUAAAAUAGGAUAUAUUUGUGCAUUUUGGUCUAGCAUGUAUCUAUUUUAGGGUUUUGACUUAUGGAAUUCGUAUCACAUAAGGCCUCUUGAUUAGUAUUUAUUUAUUUUUUACAUUCAAAGAUUAGAAGCUGAACCUUUGAUAAAGGUUGAAAUUUUUUAUCCAUUCCAUCGUAACACAUGGUGGUCUAAGUUUUAGUGUUAACUUUUUCCAAUAUAUUCCUACUAUUUAUGCCCCAUACAUAUAGCAUUAAUUCUUUUUUGCUUGUCAUUUCAUGAAAAUAUUUCUCUACUUACCACCAACCAUAUAAGUUAGAUAUUUGGAUGACUAUUUCGAUAAAUAUAAAUAAAAUUUAUAUAUAAACUUGAACAUGCGAGUAUAAUAAAUUACUUAGAAAAUAUGAUAAUAUAAAAAGAUUCUUUAUAAUGUCAGUAUAUAUUGAAGUACUUAAACUCUAUUUUAAGACCACAUCAAGCACUAUACAUCAAUUAUUUGUAGUGACAUGGAUAGUGAGUAUAUCAUCUAGUUAAAUAUUAACAUGGUGUGUCUGAGAUUCCAAGAACAAGGGACUUAUCUUGUCCUUUUCAUAUUGCAAAAAUUUUGCCAUAAAAAAAAAAAAAAAAGGAGGGUGGGUGGGGGUGGGAAAUUACAAAAUCACUAAAUGGUAACUCUAAAUAAUCAUUCAUAAUAAUUUGAAUGGUAACAAAACAAAGAAGAAAAGUGAUUUGAUUCCUCUUGUUACAUAUGUAUGUAUGUCAGUGUAUAUACCUUAAAUUUUAUUUUCUUUUGACUAACUAAACCGUUAUAUGUAGGUCUUUAUCGGUAUAGACUAGGGGAUGUAGUAGAAGUUGCUGGUUUCCACAAGAAGACCCCCAAACUCAACUUUAUAUGCAGGAGAAAGCUGAUAUUAACAGUAAACAUCGAUAAGAAUACUGAACAGGACCUUCAGUUAGUGGUGGAGAGAGGUUCGCGAAUACUAAUAAGCAAGUCAAGAGCUGAGCUAGUAGACUUCACAAGCCAUGCAAAUGUAUCAAAAAGACCAGGCCAUUAUGUGAUCUAUUGGGAAAUCAAAGGUGAUGUUGAUGAAAAUGUUUUUGGAGAGUGUUGUAGGGAGAUGGAUGCAUCUUUUGUUGAUCAUGGAUAUGUUGUAUCAAGAAAAACAAAUUCAAUUGGACCAUUAGAACUUUGCAUUGUGGAAAGAGGUACUUUCAAGAAGAUUUUGGAACAUUUUAUUGGAAAUGGAGCAGCAUUAAGCCAAUUCAAGACUCCAAGAUGCACUAGCAACCAAGUACUAUUAAGAAUCCUUAAUGUAUGUACCAUUAAAAGGUUUUAUAGCACAGCUUAUGGUUGAUACAAUGUUUUUGUAACAUAAGUGAUCAAUUUGCAUUGAUAUUUACUUUAUUUAUAUGUCGUUUUCAUUAAAAACAAAUUAUUCAAAACAGUUGUUUUAUUAAAAAAAACAUCAAUAUAUAUCUAAUUGUGUAUGUUUUUCUCAUUUUGCUCCUAGUAUAAAAAAAACUAAGUGAAGAACACAUACACAUACUUAAAUAUUGUGAUUGUUUAGAUUAACUUUCUUUCUAUAUAUUGAUGAAGAUGAAUUAAGGGCAAAACAGAAAAUAUUGUAAUUUAUAUGUCGUCUUCAUUAAAAAUAAAUUAUUCAAAACAGUUGUCUUAUUAAAAAAACAUCAACAUAUAUCUAAUUGAGUAUGUUUUUCUCAUUUUGCUCCUAGUAUAGAAAAUCCAAGUGAAGAACACAUACACAUACUUAAAUAUUGUGAUUGUUUAGAUUAACUUUCUUUCUAUAUAUUGAUGAAGAUGAAUUAAGGGCAAAACAGGAAAUAUUGUAAUUUAUAUGUCGUCUUCAUUAAAAAUAAAUUAUUCAAAACAGUUGUCUUAUUUAAAAAAGACAUCAAUAUAUAUCUAAUUGUGUAUGUUUUUCUCAUUUUGCUCCUAGUAUAGAAAAUCUAAGUGAAGAACACAUACACAUACUUAAAUAUUGUGAUUGUUUAGAUUAACUUUCUUCCUAUAUAUUGAUGAAGAUGAAUUAAGGGCAAAACUGGAAAUAUUAUAAUUUAUAUGUCGUCUUUAUUAAAAAUAAAUUAUUCAAAACAACUGUCUUAUUAAAAAAAAUCAAUAUAUAUCUAAUUGAGUAUGUUUUUCUCAUUUUGCCCCUAGUAUAGAAAAUCUAGUGAAGAACACAUACACAUACUUAAAUAUUGUGAUUGUUUAGAUUAACUUUCUUUCUAUAUAUUGAUGAAGAUGAAUUAAGGGCAAAACAUGAAAUAUUGUUAUUUUAGGAAUAAGUAACAAAUUAAAAUGGACUACAAUGCCAGUCAUUUUAUAAAAUUUAUACAUAAAUUAUCAUAUUUUACCUAUUAUAUCCUUAAUAGAAUAGUUAAUCAAUCUUGAAAAUGUAGUAUUUAUUAUAAAGUUGACUUAAGAAAACAUUAAAUAAAAGUGAAAGGGUAAAGUUACAUCAUUACUGAAUGCAAGUGCAAAGUAAAAGGUGACAUAUAAAAUGGGACGAUAGGAGUAUUUAUCUUUUUACAAAAUCAAUGCAUAAAUGACAUUGUUCUUCCAAUUUUACCCUUUAAAAAUUAUUAGUUUUGAAAGUAUAAAUUUUUUCAAUAUAAAAAAUCUAAAAAAAAUUCAUGUUCAUUAGUCAAAUCAGUUAAUCAAAAUAAAUUAAUUCAUGUUUAUUUAUUAAAAAUUAACUUCAAAAAAAAAUCAAAUAAGGGCAUUAUAAUAAACGUAACUAUCUUCUUAAAGAAUAUGAGAUCUAAAACGAUAGUAACUAAAUAAAAUUUUAAAAUAUAAUGGACAAAUAAAUAUGAACAGACGGAUUACUCAACCAGUCAUAUGAAUAGUCCAAUCUUGAUGGACAUGUCAUUGUUAAUUAUUGGACCAAAUUACAUGUAACAUUUAGGGAUUGUAGUCCCAAAAAGUUUAUCUAUCACUUACCACAAGUUGUUUGAAAUUUGAACCACAUAUACUUUCUUCAUUAUAUAUUAUUUAACCUCCAUACAUGUUAAAAAUAAAUUGUUCAUUUUAUUUUUCUAAUUUAAAAUAAAUUUAAAGAAUUUUUAUUAAACUUUUUUAUAGUAUCGAUGUCACAAUCAAAAAUUACAAAUCAUAAUGAUAUCUACGUUUUCAUUCGAUAGAUAAGUCAAUCCAAUAACUUAACUAAUUCAACAUAAACGUGAAAAGAUAAGUAGCAAAAAAAUAUCUAUAAUACUAAAAUAAUAGUAUUCAGUUUUAAAAUUUUAAAGUAUCAUUGAUAUAGAUAAAAUUGUAUGUAUAUAGAUUUUAUAUACCAUGGAGAUAGACAAUAUUAAAGAUUGUAUUAAUGAUUUAGGGGAUUUCAAACUCUACUUGAGCUGCUAAGUUCAAACUCUACUGAAAUAACUGAAUAUUAUUUUCUUAUAAUUUAAAUUUAAAAAAUCCUUCAAAGAUCUUUUAUGUGUAAAAAUAUCUCUUUACAUAAAUAAAAGGGAAAAUGCUCAAAUAUGCCAUCAAACUUUCAGAAAAGGCUCAUUUAUGUCAUAAGUCAAAAAUUUGGCUCAUUUAUGUCAUUACCGUUAAAGAAAAGGCUCAUUCAUGCCAUUAAUUUUUAACGGUGGUUUUGCAAAACUAUAUUUGACACGUAGCCAAUUAUAAUUCGGUCACGUCAUCAAUUUUUUUAAUUAAAAAAAACAUAAUUCAGAAAAAAAAUUGAAUUAAUUUUUUUAAAAAAAUAAAUUGAUGACGUAGUCGAAUUAUAAUUGGCCACGUCAUCAAUUUUUAAAUUAAAAAAAUUAAAAUUCUGAAUAAAAAUUGAUUUUUUUAAUUAUAAAAAUUGAAUUUUUUAUUAAAAAAAUUAAUGAUGUGGAUGAAUUAUAAUUGAUCACGUGUCAAAAAUGAUUUUUGUAAAACCACCGUUAAAAGAUAAUAGCAUGAAUGAGUCUUUUCUUUAACGAUAAUGACAUAAAUAAGCCAAAUUUUUAACUGAUGACAUACAUGAGCCUUUUCUGUAAGUUUAAUGGCAUAUUUGAGUCUUUCUGUAUAAAAAUUGAUAAAUUUAUAAAACUCUAAACAAAAUUAUUUAUAUUUUUCAAUAUUUAAUUAAAUAACAACAUAUAUAAAAAUUAUACGACACUAAAGGAGGGUGCAUGAAUAUGACAACACAAUUACAAGUUGCUAGGACAAAUUAAUAUAAAUACAAUAAAUACAAAUAUGAAAAAAGGUCAAUUAUACUGUGGCUUUCUGAAAUAAUGAAUUCACAAACUACUUAAUUAAUUGCUGCCAACACAUCUAGGUCCCAACAGUUAAAUGACAGGGAUACGAAUAAAUUCAGAAUUUAAAAUUUAUAAAUAUUAUUUUAAAAGUUUUAAUGUCAAAAUGUUUAUACUUUUAUAUUAAAUGAUCAUCUCUUCUUUUUAUUACAAUUUACAAAAAGAAAAUGUAAAUUUAUGUUUCAGAUAAAAAAAAAUAAUAGUAAUAAUAUAUCCAGUAUAAUUUUAUAAAUAAAAUUUAAGAAAAUUAAAGUUUACUUAGACCUUAUUCAUAUCUUGUAGAAAUAAAGUUCACUUGAAAAAAAGUGAAACAAUUCGAAAAGAAAAAUACAAAAGACAUAACAAACAAAUAAUUUAAAAAAAACAUUACAUAAUAUUCAAAAAAUAACAAUUAAGAACAACAAUAAAAUAAUACGAGAAUAUUACUAAUAUAUAAUAAUAGAAGUCAAAAUACUAAGAGAUAACAUAUAAUAAUAGAAAUCAGAUUAAUUUAACUCAAUCGAACUCAAUAAUUCAAAUUUAUUUUUUAAAUUAAGAUUUUAAAUUUUAACUCUAUUUUUUAUAUAAUAAUUAGAAAAACCUUUCAUAUCCGAUCAUUCUUCACCAUCAAAAUGAGGGAGAAAAUGAUAGAAAAUUACAGACAAAAGUGCACGUUGUUAAAAAGAUAUGGACGGUGCAUAUUUAAAAAGCGUAAGCGAUACGUCAAGUUAAUUUAUUUAUAUAUAGUAGAUGUUAAAUUUAUAUAUUAUUUUUUAUAUUUAAUUUUAUAUCCUUUUUAAUGAAUUUAAAUAAAUUAAACUUAAUAUAUGUUGAAAACAUAGCAUUUUCUAUUCAAAUUAAUUAGACUUCGAUUAAACGUUGACAAUUUGAAACAUAAUAUAUUUUAUGAAAUUUCAUAUUCAGAACUUGAAAUUAAAACAUUAAUAAAUAUUACGCGACAAAAAAUUUGAAAAAACGAAAACGUGGACAAUUUGGUAGCACAUAUUCUAUAAUUUUUUUUCUUAAUAAAACAAAAAAAAAUGAAUAGUUAUUCUUGUACUGUGAAACUUGUUUUUAUUUACACAGAAAAUUUAAUCAUUGAUACUUAGAAAACUAUAAUUAUCAUCACCAACAAAAAACUUUUAUUGAUUUUGUAUGAUUAUAAAUCGUACAUUCUUGUCAUAUUAUUUGAUUAGAUUUCAUAAUAAUAAUGCACGUUAUCUGAUCAUACAACUGGAAUUUUUUUAUAUCCUGGACAACAACUAAAAAUAAAUAAAUUAGAUCAUAAAAUCAUAUAUAUUUUUAAUAAUUAUUAAGGUAUUAUAUAUAGGUGAACAAUUUGUAUGAAAAUGACAUUUAAUUGUAUGAAAAUGACAUUUAAUCCUAGAGACACACUUAUACUAUAUUAAGACCCUAUUACUCUCCUGAACUUAUUUUAUAAGUAAUUUUUUACCCCUUUUUGACUUACGUGUCACUAACUUGAAAAUAAAAGUCAACCAACGCUUGGCCUACAAGAUAGUGCCACGUAGACUGAAAAGGGAUAGAAAAUUAUUAAUAAAAUUUGUUCAGGGGAGUAAUAGAACCUUAGUAUAGUACAAGUGUGUCUCUGAGAUUACGGGCAUAGGUUGAGGAGGUACUUGUGCGUUAUCCCUUAAUUUUACCAUUACUUCAUUGCUAGUUAUUUUCGUUGUGUUGAAAAGAGGAAAAAAAAUCAUAGCAUUUAAAAAUUUAUUUGAUGAGUGUAUAAAUAAAAUAGUUCUUCACUAGCAUCAAAGAAAUAAAUAAUAACCAAACAUUACUAUUUGUCGUGUUUCAUGACCAAAUUAAUCAUUUUCAUUUUUCUAAAUUUUAGUUAAUACAACUUACUAAGAUAAUUAAAAACAUCUAAACUACUACAAGUUCUGUAUUAGUAACCAUAAAAUUAUUUUCAUGCACUAACAAUGUAAAAGUUAUUUACACAAUCAGAUCACUAUAAAAGUAUUAAAGUCAUGUAUAUGUUUGUGUAUAUCAAUUGAAAAUGUAUAUAUGAUCUACAAAUAUACAUGAUAUGUACAUGUAAUAUACAUUCUCGAGGUAAUAUUUUCCACAUCGAUUUAGGUCUAAAUUUUGAUUCCAUACUAAUCGAAAUCUCCGGCAAUGCUCCUUAACGUUUGUAUAUAGCUUCGCGCUCUCGUUGAUUCUCAACCACACUCACUUAAAAUACUACUCAAAAUAUUAAAUUUCGAGUUUAAUUGUGAUUUUCAAAAUCGAAAAUCGAGUUUAAUUUUACAUUUGGGCUUUUCACAUUGACCUUCUUUUCUAGAAGCCCAACUAUUUUAAAUGGGUUAGGCCCAAUUCAUAUGCAAAAUCUAGUUCUGUUAUAUCCAACCAUAAGCUUUCAUGAAGUAUUAGUGUAAAAGUUGUUUACAUAGUUAAGUAAUUAGUAUGUAAUUAAGAGUAAUUAUAUCUAUUAGAAUUGAAAGGUUAAAAAAUAUAGAAAGUAAUUUGGUGUAACAUGUUAAAUUAUAUUGACGGAUUUAAAUUAUAUGUGGUAUUUUCGAUAUGGAGAAAAAUAUUUUUCGAUUUUCUCAAAGUUUGAUUGGUCAAGAUUUUCAGAAAAUAUUUUGUUUAGAAAAUUAAGUUCUUUAAAGAUGAAGAAAAUAACUUCUCUAAUAAAAUUACAAAAAACAAAUUUGACGAAUGACUUCAUACUGAUUGUGUCCGCCACACCUUCCAACAUACCUCACUACGAUGAUGCGAUUAUUGACCGUUUUCAAAAUCUUAAAAAUGCGUUUAGAUAAUAUGCUUAUUACCACAUUAAUGAAUUUUAAAAAUACCAAAGUUUGUACUUUGCUAUCAUUUAUGGAAUAUUAAACUUACCUCGUGAUUCACCAAAAAAUAAAUAUCCUUGUUGAACAAUAAAAAAAAUAAUGAAAUAAACAAACCAAAAACUGAAUAUUCCAAACAUUGGAGAUUCAUAUAUAAUUAACAAGAAAAAAUUCAUAGAAAUAAUCCCCAUUAUAAAAUCUUAGUACUUUCCGUUUAAUUAAUUAAUUAAUUUUCUUACCUAUAUAUUCCACUUCAUUACACAAUACACAAUUCCUCCACUUCCUAUAAGUCCAAUAUUUGUCUUAUAUAUAUUACAAACCAAAACAAUAAUCAAGAACAAACACUAUGAGUUCCAUUUCUUCUCAUGAUUCACAAAAUGACAUAAAUUGUUAUCGUGUUUAUGUCUCGUUUUGUGGCAAAAAUUCUAACGAUAACAUGUCGAAUUGGAUAUCAUGUUACUACCCUUCAACGAAUUCCUGGAAUACUCAUGUCACAUCUAUUCCAGGUCUUCUGGAGAAUCAUGUCCUCAAGGAUUUCACGAUUACUGUUAUUGGUGAGGAGAUUUUUGUAAUUGGAGGACGACAAUGUCACAAGGAUGUAAAUGGUAGUAUGGAAAAUAAUAACGUUCACGAAAUCGAUAUAGAAAUUCUUCCUUCGGUACUAAAGUACAAUGUUUGUAAAGAUUGUUGGACUAAAUGUGCACCUUUAAAAACUCCAAGGUUUAAUUUUGCAUGUAUGACUUCUAAAGACGGCAAAAUUUAUGUAGCUGGUGGACAAACAACAUUUGAUGGUGCUAAGGGUACCUCUUUGGCUGAGGUUUAUGAUCCUAUCUUAGAUGAAUGGAAGCAACUACCUAACAUGAGCACCACGAGGUAUGGACUGAACUGUGUGACUAUCUCGUCAAAUUAUAAUAAGUUGUUACGAUAAGAGUAUAUUUUUAGUUAUUUGUGUUAUAUUAUGACUCAAAACACUCCUUCUAUAGACCUAAUUAUUUUAAUACAUCAAAUAGAAUACUUUUUGGAGUUUCACUACACAACAUAUCUAAGUGCUUACAAAAACCAUGACAAAAAGCAAUAUAAUCUUCAUUUUUUUAAAAAAUUACGCGGUUAAGCAAACUUAUACUAUUUAAUUACUCAUCAUAGCUAUAGUUUGCUAUAAUUAUCACUCGCGACUAACAUUAUACAUUAAUUUCGUGGGAUGACUUUGAAUUUGUAUAAUUAGUCACGUUCAUUAGAAUAUACAAAUACAUAUGUAUAAUAUACAAUUAUCUAACCGAUAUAAAUAUACAAUUCACCUCUCUCUCACUCUCUGCCCUCUCUCGCUCAUCUCUCUCUCCUCCCUUUCCUAAUCUCUCUUGUCAUAUAUACAAAUGCAUAUGUAUAAUAUACAAUAACCUAACCGAUAUACAUAUAUAAUUCACCUCUCUCCCACUUUUUGCCCUCUCUCGCUCGCCUCUUUCCUCUAUCUUCCAGUCUCGCUCGCCUCUCCUCCUACCUAUUACAUGUAUCUACGAAUUGCAUUAUUAAACUAUAGCUAUGUAGAAUAAUUAGGUUAUUUUUUAGUGACUCUAUGUGAAAGUUCCUCUUCUUUCUUUCUUUUUUUUUCCAAAAUUUUAGCCAAAUCAUUCCAUAAUAUGUGCAUAUAUAUUAUCAAUAAUGUAUAUAUAGCAUAUAAAAUCAUCAGUACUUGUUAUACAAUAAGUAUACAUGGACCACGAUGGUUACAAAUGGUACUUAAUCGCUAGGUGAGUGAAAAUCUUGAUAUAAUACAUAUUGAGUUGCGUAACCAUCUUAUCAAAAAAUCAUUAUUUAGAAAGUUACUCGAUUAUAUUAUGUCUCAACAGGUACAAGUGUAUUGGUGUGUUAUGGCAAGAGAAAUUUUAUGUAGUGGGGGGAUUUGCCAGAAGAGAAAACACUCAUGAUACUCAUCAAGGACCCUACAUUAUGGAAAGAAGUUCUGCUGAAGUGUACGAUCCAGAUCGCGACACGUGGGAUUACAUGGCUAGGAUGUGGGACCUAGAUGUGCCACCUAAUCAAAUAGUGAAUAUUGAUGGGAAGCUCUAUAGCUCAGGUGAUUGUUUAAACACAUGGAAGGGACAUAUUGAGUCCUAUGAUGGGAAACACAAUUUAUGGUACAUAGUGGAUGGUUCAAGUUCACCAAUUUCUAUAUUAGAUGACACACACAAUAAUUGGCCAAAUUUGGAAAGAAUGUUUUGCACUAUGGCUCCUAUAGGGACAAAGUUGUACUUUUUGGCUGGUUAUAGAAAUAUGUUGGGUGAUAACUACAUAACAAGAACAAGAAGUGAAGUACAUGUUUUUGAAACAACAACAAAUGGGAAUGGAUGGAGAAGUUUAAUUGAACCAUUAGAGGAACAAGGGGAAAAAGAGCUUUGUAGCCAUUCUUGUGUUAUGAAAUUGGAUACUUGACUAUAUUUCAUCUUGGCUUGUUUACACUAUUAUCAAAUAAUAGUCAAAAUUAUCUAUCGUAUAUCCUUAUCGAAAAUAGAAUUGACAAUCGAUAUACACAUUGAAGGCAAAUGUUACAUUGACUUUUCUUUCGAAGCUACGUAUAACUAAUUAAAAUUAUUUUGAUUAUACCAGGUCCUUCAUUUACUAUAGAUAUCACUACAAUAAAAAUAAUUUUUAGCGGCAUUAAAUGUUGACACUAAUAAAGAGUGCUAACGUUUUUACCGGCAUUAGUUAAGUGACAUUAGAACCAAUGUCGCUAAAGGCUUUUUAGGGACAUAUACAAAGAGUGACAAUUGCCGCUAAAAAUACAUAUUUAGUGACAAUUAAAAAUUAAAUGCCGCAAAUAAUCAUUUUUAUUAUAGUAAUAAUCCACUAAUUUACCACCCUAUUGAUAUUACUCAUUCAAAAAUAAAAUGCUUCGUAUUAAAAAAAAUUAUAUUUAAUUAAUUAAUCUUAUUCAUUUUAUCAUAUUCUUCGAUGAUUAUUCGGGAUCAAAGUGUUGAGGGUUUUUGUUUGUUGUAAAUUAUCAAAGCAUGAAAAGAAGAGAAAGCAAAUAAGAGAAAUAAAAGUUGGACCCGAUCACGUGACCCGACUUGCACGGGUCUUUCGUCUUUUUCUUGGUGGUCCAAAUCCUCCUACUUCACUUUUUUUUCUCUCGAAUAUUUAUAUCGAAGAUUGAUUUAAGUCAAAUUUAUAUAUAAUAUGAUUUAGUUUUAGAAAUAAUGUUUUUAAUAAUAAAUAUAUACAUAUAUAUAUAUAGGAUUUAGAACUAAAAGUUACUAGUUAGAGGUGGAGGAAUCUUAAUCAUUCAUCACGAUCUAUGUUGGUCGCUCUUUUCAUCUGAUAUGUUAUCGAAUUUUGACAAAAGGUUUAUUUGUCAUGUUAUGCUUUUCGAAAGUUAACUUGUCUAAUUUUAAAAGUUAAAUUAGAUUAUAUUAAUUCGAUAUUUUUUUAAAAAAAUUAGAUAUUCAAAAACUAUAUGAAAAGUACUAUAAAUUGCAAUUUUUUGCAUAUCAAUAUGAUGAAUAAAUUCAUCUUAAAAUGUUGGUCAAAGUUCAUAAAGUUUGACUCUAAAAUAGAAACCAUAACACAAAAUAGAGGAUGGAGAGAGUAUAUUUCUAUUUGAGAAAAAAAAUCAGUUCAUUUCAUUAUUUGUUAACUGAAAUGACAUAAAUGAGUCGAACUUUUAACUAAUGUACAUAAAUAAGUUUUUUUCUCUCAAAGUUGACAUAUUUAAACACUUUUUUCCUUUUCAAAACAAUUAUUCAAUUAAUGGUGUGGCUGAAUCAUAAUUGACCACGUGCCAAAAAAAAGAAUUUGCGAAAUGAAAAUUAUUUUUUUUAGUUAACAAAUAAUGACAUGAAUGAGUCUUUCACAAAAGAUAAUGACAUAAAUAAGCAAAAUUUUAACAAUUACACAAGUAAGUUUUUUUCAAACUUUCGAUAUAUCAGAUCUAAAUAACAAAGUUAAAGAGAUAUAUCAAAUUAUUUAUUUUAAUAAACGGAAAAGAUUAUUUACAGUCUUGGAGUAUGAAAUUAUGAUCAAAUUAUAAUUUCAGCUUCUUUGAAAGUAAUUAGUAUUUAUAUAUAAAUUAAAAUUCAAUUUCAAGCUAAGAACAACUUGAAGGAGACACAACAAUCUGCAUAGUUUGUUCUUAAAAAAGAUUAGCAAAUACUUUUUGAUUUAGAAAUAAUUAAAUUAAAUUUCUUAUUUCUUUUUAAUAAAAAAACAUUAGAGAUGAGCCAAUUAUAAUAUGCCACGUGUCCACUAAAUUAGCGUAACUUUACCAGUUGUUUCAGUUAUAGUUUCAUUGUCUGAGGGAACCAACUGGCCACGUGUCACGUUAAUUGCGCUUAAUCUCUUUACGAGUUUUAUAAAAUUGAUUAAUUUAAAUUUAAAUUUUGUAUUUAUACUUGACUCACGAAUAAUCUAUUUUUUAUAACAAGAAAUUUUUUUAAUAUAUCAUCGAACUAAAGAAAAGAAAAGUCCAUAUUAAAAGUUUAACUCAUUAUUAUGUCAUUGUGUUAGGAGAAAAUGUUCAUACAUAUCACUUAUUUUUCAACUUUGGUUGUGCAAUUGUCUCUGCACCCUCUAUUAUAUUUUAUUUGUCAUAACUUAAUUGAAUAUCGACUUUAUAAAAAAUAUAAUCCGUCUUUUAUAUUUUGUGAUCAUAUUUCAAAAAUAUAUAUAGUGUAUUAAAAUAUUUUUCAAUCUUAUGACCUUAACAUAUACCAUGCAAAAUAUUGAAAUUAAAAGAAAAAUACUAUUGAAUAUAUAUUAAAAAAUGAAUGGAGAAAAAGAAACAAGAUUUGUUUAUAAAAAAAACAUCAUCUUCUUCCCCUCUUAUGUGCAUCAUUUUAAAAGCAAAAACAAAUGCCAAUGUGAUUUGCUAUCGUCGAUUGAAAUUCAACAAUUUAAAUUAUUAUUCUUUUUUUUUUAUCCUUGAAGGAUUUAAUUCAAAUUUUAGGCAAUUAUGGAUGGGCUGAAUUCCUUAGAAGUUAGAAAAAGGAUACGCUUCGUACUAAAAAUAAUAAUUAAAAUUUUAAUCAAGAGAGAAAUAAUUUUAUCUAUGACGAAAUAAUUGUGGUUGGUGUAACAUAAUGUCAAAUAUGAUGAAUAGAACCAGAAAAAGAGAGCCAAUUGUCAAAUUUCUGACUUUGCAGUAUGUGCCAAAAAAAGACAAUUUUAGAAACGACAAAGAAGUAUUGAGAGAGAUCACUCUUCUAAUAAUAAUAAUAAUAAUAAUAAUAAUGCACCUGUCACGAUAACAUUAAACAGUACUUGGUUGAGAUGCUCAUUUGUUAUUUAAUUAAUACAUAGUUUUGUAUUUGUCUCUUAUUAUUUGUCACAUUCUAAGGGAUUAUAUAUAGGCCUAGGCAUCUAGUCGAUCGAGCAAAAAUGGGUACUAUAUUUAAUGUACUUUUGAAAAGAUUUGAUGUGUAAAAUGGUUUACGUGAUAGAGGGGAUGUGUAGUGGAGAUUUGGGUACAAUAUUAUGGGGUAAAUUAUAUUUAGAAUUUUAAUACUCAAAGUUGAUGGAUUUAAUGUAUUAAAAUAUUAUUAUAUAAAAAUUUGAAGAAAAUUUUAUAUAAUGACCGAUGGUGAUGAUGUCUAAUAUUAACGAUGGUUAUGAAAGCAGACUGUAGAUGGUAGCUUGUGAUUGACAGUAAUGAUUGGAAUGGUGGUAAUUUGUGGUAAAUGAUGGUAAUUGAUAAUGUUUGUGAUGAUUAAUAGUGAAGACUGGUGAUGGUGACUGUUGAUAGUUGUGAUAGUGAUGGUUAUUGUAAUUUUAAACGAUGAGUAGUUAAUGGUGUGACGACUAGCUGUAAUAAACGAGUAUAAUAAUAAUUGUGGUUAAAAAUAGUAUGGUGAUCAAUAAUGUUUUGUGAUGAUGGUGAUGGUUGGUAGCUGUGAUACCGAUGGUUGGUGAUUGUAAUUGUAAAUGACAGUUAUUAGUGACGAUAAGUCAUUGUGCUGAAUGUCGAUUAUAAUAAUUGUGAUUAAAAAUAGCAUUGUGAUCGAUAAAAGAUGGUAGUUGAUAAUGAUUAUAAAACAACUAGCAACAAAAAUGAAUGGAGUAGUUGAAAAAUGUCUUCUCCAUGAAAAAUCUUAAUAAAGAACUUUAUAAACUAUGUAUGUCCAACGGUCUAAAGUUUGUUCUAAAAAAUUGUAGAAAUUAUUAGAAUUCAUAAUAUGUGUACUCAUAAAGUUCAUAGUUUGUGACUUGUAUUGUAUUAAUUAGAUUAUAUAUUCCCCCUUAUCAAUAUCUCCUUAUUCGUCAUAUAUAUUAGUAGUCACACCAUCAAUUUGUUUGGCCUUACAACACUUCUUUAUAGAUGGUAUCAUAGACCAAGUAUCAAGUAGUGUUAUAGAUCAUGAGUCUUUAGGAUUACAUUGUAUCAGUUAAACACUUCAACUUAUAAAAUAAUUAGUUAAACACAUUCAGAAUUUAUGUGUCAUGUUAAUAUCAAAUAUCCACAAAACACAACAAUAAAAGUUGAAGUGCCUAAAUCUACAUUCUCAUCAAAAGAUAUUUAUCUGUCUUUUUAGUUACAGAAGACAAAUAUAUCCACUAUUGUAAAUGGUAUAUGCGGAUAUCUUCCGUUAUACUUUUAAAACAUUGGUGCCAUGCCAUUCAAAAACUAGAAUAUACAUACCGUUUAUACUAACGGACAUAUACGUGUCAUAAUCUUAUCCACUAACAACAACUUAUUAAAUAUCAUAUCGACCGAUAAGAUUGCGCCACAUGUCCCUAUUUAGUCUUCCGUUAGAGUGAAGGAAGUACGUGCUCUAGCUUUCUGACGGCAGGGACAACAAUAUCUCAAAAGUAUGAUGGGGAUAUUUACAUACAAUUUGCGAUAAUCCAAGGGUAUAUUUGUCCUUUUCCCAUCUAUGUAUAAUGCCCUUUUUUUUCCCAAGUAACCAUAGAUACCUUCAAAUUAAACAACAUUUUUCCUAAACAAACUAGUCAUUAUACCUUGAUUAUCUACUAUAGUCUUCCUUUUUAUCCUCCACCAUUUGCCCAUCCCAAAGCUAAAAGCUUUUUCUUCUCCCUCACUCUUUUGUCCACUUCUACAAGAACCCAAGAAAAGCUUUACCUUUUCCAAGCUAAUACUAAAUUAAACUAACCAACUUUUCUCAUUGAAAGUUACCCACCUCAAAUCCAUCAUCACUACACACUACACCUCCCCACAUCUCCAUUUUCAUCAACCAAGUAAAGGGUAUUUCUCUGUUUCUUGAACUAUAGCUUCAAAACCCUUUGUUCAGUUCUUUCAGACAAAAUAUCAAACAGUUAGAGUGCAACAACAAAACCCACCUCAAAUUCAUCACCACUACCUCCUACAGUCUUGUUGGAGGAAAGAAAAACUGGGUCUUUACCUGUUUCUGGAACUGUAGCUUCAAUCUCUUUUUUUGAGUUCUUUCAGGCAAAAUAUCAAACACAUAGAGUGCAACAAUGAGCUAACAUUUUGUGUCAAUUGGUGAUGAUACAGAAAGAGAUUACCUUGUUUUUACUCAAUGGGAAGACGACAAAUUAAUGGUGGUAUUGAUUUUUGGGGAAUCGUGCCACCGCCGAGUAUGGCUCCGGCAGAAACAAAUGGUGGUGGUGAACUAGAAGGAGAUCACUGGAGAAACUUUGACAACUCUGUAAAUGCUGUAUCGUUUGGUUUCGUUGCGACUGCUAUUCUUAUUUCUAUGUUUUUAGUAAUGGCGAUUUUCGAAAGAUUUCUCCGGCGAAGACCGUCGUCUUCCGGUGGUGAUCGGAAUAGUUCCGAUCAAAUGAGAGUUCAGAGGAAACUUGAUUAUCCUUCUCCUGAGGUAUGCUUUUAUUUUCUCACUUUUUUACUUAGACGCAAUGUGUGUAAUUCGUUUCGUUUUAUAUGAUAUUAUUUAAUUAAAUAAUUAAGUUAUGAAUUAACGAAAUGUUUUAUUCUCAUAUAUCAAAAUUAAUAUUAAUUUACGAAAGAAGUUUUAGUAGCUAAGUUAAUUGAUUAUCGAGAGUUGGAUUAGGACUUGUAAUUUAAUAUGUUACUCCUUUCUAUUUGCAUUCUCAUUAAAAUGGUUUGGUUAUGUAAAAUCUACUAAGCUAGAGGUACGAUUUAGAUGUGUUUUAUCUUUUUAGAUUUUAUUUAUGAGAUUACAUUAAAUUUGUUGUUAUUAUUAUUGUUGAUUAUGUAAAAAUUUUCUCAACUAAAUAAGUGUGGAAUUUUUUUAAAAAAUAAUCAAUAUCUUUUUUAUUAUGUUGCAUAUUAUUGUUUUGAACUAAAUUUAAAAGCUAAAAACACAAUAAAAGAGAAUCUAUUGCAUUAUCAUUAUAAAAUGAGAAGUUUAAAGUUUAGAAAUUUUGAACAUGAAAAAUUAGAGAAAGUAUUAUUUCAUAAAUGAAUUGAAAUGUUUAUUAUACCCUUGGUCCAUUUUUUAUUUCUUGUUCCUAUAUUAAACAUUAAAUAUCUAUUUUUAUUUGUUUAAUUAAGAAAAUUAAAACUUAAUUUAUCGUGAUGUUGAGAUAAAAUGAGAAGUCCAAAGUUAGAGUUACUAAUUAUGGAAAAUUAAACCAAGUAUUAUUUCCUAGAUGAAUUGAAAUAUUUAUUACACACUCUUUGUCUAUUUUUAUUUGGCUAUUUAUUAGUAUAUGUUUUUCCUGUGCUUUUUGAGAGUCAGUUUAAUUAAUUUUUAAAAUUAAUUUAGAUUAUAUUGAUAUUAUAUAUUUUUUAAAAAAAAUUAGAUAUUAAUUUUUUUUUAUAAAAAGUACUAUAAAUUGCAAUUUUUUUAACAUAUUAAUAUGAUAAAAAAUAAUCUUAAAAUAUUAGUUAAAAUCCUAUUAAAAGAGUUGAUACUUUUAAUUGUUCAUUUAGAAAAUUAAAAAAAUUAUUUAUUGUUUGGUUUUUAAUUAAUUUCAAAAUAUAUUUAUUAUAUUCAAAUAGUAAUAUGAUAAAUUUAUCAUUUUAUCAAUAUUCUUUUAAGAGAUGUAUCAAGUCAAAUAUGAACAAGUAAAAAUAAACAAAAAAAAAAAUAUAAGUUAAUAUUUUAGCCUUUUUAAUAUUAAAUUAUGUUACUGUCUCGAUCAUACUAAGACGCAUAAAUUAAAAUAGGAAUACUUUAUUUUCAAGGACCGCAAUGAUUAGGCUAACUAACUUUUUGUGACAGUUAAUUGUUUUUUUCUUACUGUCAUUAUUGCGUCUCACAUAAUUAUGACUAUUACAAUAAUAACUUAUAGCUGUAUUAUUUGAAUGUGAUUCUGUUCAUAAUUAUCAUUUUGUAGACCUUAGUAAAAAAUGAAUCAUUCUUGAUCAUCAUGUCCUUGGAAAAUUUAUUUUGAAUUUUUGAUCCAAUUUAUCUAACUUUAAACCUAAGACAAAAAAAAGAAAAAGUUAAUUAACAUUAUAUUAGUUAAACAUAAGAGUUUUUCAUAAUUUAUUUGACGGAACUCUGAAUUAGUGAGACUCACAAGCUUCGAAUAACAAAUGCUUAAAUCGGAAAAGAGAAUGUGUCAAUUAUCACAAAAUAUAGGGUGAUGAGAUUAGGGGCGGAUUUAAGAGGGGGUGAGGAUGUUCACUUUAUCUCUUCGAUAAAAAAAUACAUGAUUUUUAUAUAAGGUAUUUUUGAAUUUUAAAAGUUGGCUCAGUGAUUAAGUUCUAUGUUCAAGUUUCUUAGUUCUAAUUUAUUUUUAAUUUUUUUAUAGUUUUAUCCCUAGUAUUGUUUUAGUUAUAGUCCUUUUUCACCAACUUUUUUGUAAAUAGUUUCUAAGAAUAUUUCACAUAUUUUAGCAGAAAAAAUGCUGAUCAACAUUCUUUUAUCAUAUUGAUAUUAAUGAUAUAUGUUAUUUGGACUUUUUAAAAAUAUGAACAGGUACAUUUUAAAUUCUCUAAAGGUAAUGCAUUUGUUGAGGAUUAUAUUAAAAAUAUAAUUGAAUAAUAUAAGUGUCUUUUCUCUAAUAGCUUAAGCUUUUAGAUGAUAUAGUCACAUGCUUCAACAUGAUAUUAGAGCAGACAAUGAUUCUGAGAGUGAAUUUCAUGGCCACUCAUGUCAAAAAUAAUUUUCACAUGCUUGACUUAUGAAAAACAAUCAGGCCCGAACGUGGGGAAGGGUAUUGAGGAUAUAAUAAAAUAAUAAAAAUGUGUUAUCUCUAAUAUCUUAAAUUUUUAGAUGAAAUAGUCACACGCUUCAACAUAAUAUCAUAGCAGACAAAGAGACUCAUAAUUCAACUUCAAUACCUUAAUACUUAUCGAUUAUUUUUAAUCAGCUAACUCAAAGAGACUCAUAAUUUUUAUCAAUGAACUUAAAUUUAUUGGAAACAUCUCAUUCCAAAUAUUUAUUAGACAAGAGGUUGCCAUGAUGGCCCCCAUUGUGUUUUCUGCAUGGUACACUACCAAGUAUAAAAGACUUUUUAGAAAAAGGUUUUUCUAGUUGAAGCCCAUGUUGUGUGUGUCCCAUUUUUAUGCAUAUUAGAAGACAUUAAAGCCCCAUGAUAUGCUAUUUUAUACAAAGAGUUAUUCAGAACAAUAGUUUUUUAAAUUGUCAUUCUUGUCCCAGCAUCUUGUUGAAAGAGAAACUAUAGCUUCCAAUGACAUCCCACCAUAUUUUGACUUUGGAGGCCAUGAUGACAUAUGAGCUUAUGUUGGGAUUCAAUAUUCUUUUUUAUAAUCGCGGUGUUCGAUUAAACUUGUGUGUAUUUUUACUAACUCUACAAGGUACCUGCUAUUUUCCCUUAGCAACUAGCAGAUAUCGAAUAGUUUUGUCAUUUUUAUCUUCGCUGAAAUUUUAAUACUGACAGUGACAGUGUAUAUAACUUAAAUUUCAUUCUCUUUCGUUGAUGAUUCUAAGCUACAUAUGUGGAGACGUCUAUAUAAUGUUCUUCUGUUAAUACUUACAGAUGACUUUUUACGUGAAUGGAGUAUCAGUACUGAUGCCUGGGGAAGAAGUUCCUACCUUCAUCGCACAUCCUGUACCCGCGCCUUCUCCUAUGGAAUCUACAUCUCAACCCCUUCAUCACCAAAACGACGCGUCUCCUUCAAGAUCAGCCUCAACUUCUACUAGUCAUAGCUCCAGUUGACAACAAUACAGAUAUGACAUUGAAAUUUAUGGUUGUCACAAUCACAAAAAACUCUAUGUGUAAGUAGAUAUUUGUUAGGAAAAAUGUCCACUCAUACAUUAAAACUUGAGGGCUUUUUAACCUUGAGGAACUUGUUAUUGUAUUUACAUUAUAGUGUAAUAUGAUUUGAACACUGGCUUUCUUAUUCCAACCCCUUCUUUAUAUGGAACUAGGAUUUUUGUAAGUUGUUCUAAAACAUAAAAGAAGUAAAAACACAAAGAAAUCAAAAGGAUUAAGUAACUAUUUUUUUUAUUAUUAUUAUAAAAGUAUUUUUCGUCUUGUAUAUACGUUUUUCAAGAAGGAAUUGUUAUCACCAAUGGAAGUUGAAUCCAAUGAUCUCUCCCUCCUACCUUCAAGUGUUGAUCUUUGUUUGUGUCGGUGCAGUGACGGAAUUCGAACUCAGGUUGGAUAGAAAAAUUGAACCCUUUUUAACAUUCUGUCAAGGGUCACACUUGUGUCGGUGGGAUCAAAAGUUAAUAUAUAUACAUAUAAAAUUUAAAAAUUGAUAUAACAUACGUAUAUAUACUGUAGUAUUUUUCAGUGAAGUGGGUUUGACCCACUAUAGGUCCGCCCUUGCGUUGGUGUUGAGGUUUUACCCUAUAAUUUAUUAGCAAAAGAGAUUCAAAGAACAUUUUAGUACAUCACACACAUAUUUAAGAUAUGAUUACUCGAAUUUUUUUCAUUAAAUUUCGUCCAAUCAAACUAAGACAUUUUUUCUUUUGUCCCUCCUUAAGAGCUACUCUCUUGGUGAUUCGAACCAACAAUUCCAUGAUUGGAUGUGUCGGAACAACAACAACAUACUCUAUGAAGUUCCACUAAUUAAGAGUGUCUACGAAGGCACUAGGGUAAAAAUAACUUUUAGUGUCGAUAAAUAUAUACAUUAACAAAUUAGGGAGCUAAAACCUUUACUAAUAUUAGUUAAUUCUCAUCCGAUCCAAUGUGGAUGAAGGUUUUAGGGACAUUUACAAAGAGUACUAAUUACCGCUAAAAAUACAUAUUUAGUUAUAAUUAAGUUAUUCUCAUUAAUCAAUUGCCGCUAAACAUAAGCCUUGGUGUCGUGAGGAUAGACUGUACACAGACCUUGCCACUAUCUCAUACUACAACAAAACAUCUUUUAGCGACAAUUAAUAUACACAAUAACAACGAAGGAUAAAAUCUUUAUAGGUAUUAAUUAAUUAACUUUAUUAUUAGGUGAGUCUCACACAUCUCAACUAAUCAAACUUAUCCAAAAUCUUCAAACUUACAUAAAUCCCUCCAAAAAUUUUUCCUGUGAACACCCGCAAAUACCUUCAUACAUUUUUUCUCAUACAUAAAUUCCCCCAAUUUAUUCUGCUUAAAAAUAGGCAAAAAAAUGACCAAAUGAAUGAUAAACAAAAAUUUCAUAACAGAAAAUUACAAAGAAAACAAAUAUUCACUAAUGACUCUUAAUUUAAUUCAAUAAUAAUUGUGCAUUGUGUGAUCAAUGCACAUUUUCUACAUCCCCAAUUAGUGCUACAGAUUAUUAUUAUUAUUAUUUGCAUAUAUUUAUAUAUUUCUGUUGCAUUUUUUGGGUUUGCUUUUAAGAGCAUAGAGUUUUUUUUUUUAAUUAUUGAACAAAAAAAUGGCCUUUAAUGAUAAUCCUUUUGCAGAAGAAGCUAAUGUAAAUCCGUUUGCGGUAUGUCUCUAGCACGAUAGAUGAAUGCAUUGUAUCUGUUUUCUGAUAGUAUUUGCAUUUGACUCGUAGUUGUCUUUGUUAUUCCUCGUUCAAUUAUUGUGUUUCAGUUAUCACAUUAUUUGGUUAUAUAUGGUUGUUGCCCCCUUUUUGGUAUGUUAUGUUUUUCGUUAUUAUUUUCUAUGUCCUCUUUACUUUUGUAUUGUUCCGUUAGAUGCUAUGAUGUUCGUUACUCGAGCUGAGGUUCUUUUGGAAACAACAUGUCUACCUCCUCGAGGUAGUUGUAAGGUGUUUGUACACUCUACCCCCGCUUUUGAGUAAUUUUGAUACAUUGUUGUUGUUUUGAUUUGUAGUUUAGAGGAAAGUGUUGUUCAUGUUGGUGGUGUGGUUUUCAUUUUUUUUAUGGUUGCCCUUUUGUCUUGUUAAAUGCCCAUGGAGUUAAAAUAUUGUUUUAUUAAAAAAAAAUCAUUUUUUGUUUGAAAAUCUAUUGUUUUCGAGCCCUGGAAUGGAAAAAAUCUUGAUAGGAAGUGUUUCCCUCUUUAAUGAACCUUAUACAACACGAUAUUGGAGUAAUGGUAAAGUCGUCCCCUGUAUGCCCUCUAGGUCACUGGUUCGAGCAAUGGAAUAAGUAAUUAAUGCUUGUUUCAUAGUAGUUGUGCCUACAUUAAACUCCCUUCAGGUGUGUCUUUCCUCGGACCCUGUGUAAACACGGGAUGCUUUGUGAAUCGGGUUGCCCUUAAUUAGGAGCUUCUUUACUUUCAUUGCAUACCUUGCUAAUGCAUCAUUUUACUUACUAAAAUGUUCAGAAUGGGAGCUCCGCUCGUGCUUCAACAGUCGAUAUUCCUCUUGAUAGUGCAAAGGUGAGAUUAGUUAGUUGACAACUUGAACUUUGUAUAUUUAGCUUACGAAUGAACACAGUAAUCGUGUGUUUCAUUGUGAGACUACAGUUUAAUGAUCCCUUUUUAACUCGCGUAACUAUUCAGGAUUUGAAGAAGAAAGAGAAGGACCUACAAGCUAGAGAGACUGAUCUGAAAAGAAGAGAAGAGGUAGGCUUGCCUAGCACUUUAUAUAGCUUUGUUGCUUGGACUCUUCUAUAAUGGCAACAUGUGUGCGUGUCGGAUUCUCUUAAAGUAGUGCAUUUUAGAGAAUCCGACAUUGGUAUGACAACAUUUUUGUAGAGUCUGGACACAUUGAUCCGUCACAUUAAAAGAAGUUUACGCAGUAGUAAUUCUCUGUUUCUUACAGGAUGUGAGAAGGAGAGAAGAAGCUUUAGCAGGAGGUACACAUUUUCUCCAUUGUAGCUCUUGAGCUAAUAAUCAAAGUUUUAUUCGACGAAUAAUUUGUUCUUUUAUAUCUGAUCUCUCCGUCUUCUUUCAACAGCUGGUGUUGUUAUAGAGCAUCGUAAUUGGCCACCGUUCCUCCCAAUCAUUCAUCAUGAUAUCGCGAAUGAAAUUCCAAUCCAUCUACAAAAGAUUCAGUAUGUUGCCUUCACUACAUUGUUAGGUACGUUGAUUUUCAGGAAUAUUCUCAACACGCCCCUUCACAUGUUGACUUUCAUUCUUCUUUUCAUUGAAUCAAGCACGUGAAAUUACUUUUUUGAUAAAACAUAAUUGGUGAGACUCAAACUCGUGACCUUUGUCUGCUCUGAUAUCUUUUAACUUCAAACUUUUUGAAUUGCAGGUUUGGCGGGUUGUAUGGUAUGGAACAUUGUGUCAACCGCCUGUAUGUGGAUCAAAGGAGGAGGUUAUUGCGAAACUAAAAUCUUACAAUCUUUUUAAUCCUUCAGAGUCGAUAUCUCAAAUGGUCACUCAACUAAACACGACUUUCUGAGAUAGUAAUAACUGUUAGUUGAGUGACGAUCAGUAUAAAUCAACUAUCUAACUUAACCUUUUUAUGUAUCAUUAUAGACGUUGGCGCAUGGUUUUUCGGUCUUAUCUACUUCUUAGGUAUUCCAUCAGCCUACUUUUUGUGGUAUCGUCCUCUUUAUCGCGCGAUGAGGUAUUAUAUUGUUAUUGUUUUCUCAUAAUUUUGUAAUGUUCUUAUACAUGUCCGUGACUAUUUUCUCAUAUCUAUUCUGUUUGCAGGACUGAUAGCGCGCUGAAUUUUGGGUGGUUUUUCUUUUGUUAUGCGGUGAACACACACUCUUCGUCUUUUUCAUUUCAUUUUUUUGCACUUACUUGUCAGUUAGAAGUCAAGUUUGAGUGUCUGUUUAUGUAUUGUAGAUUCACAUUGUAUUCUGCGUCUUAGCCACAGCAGCACCUCCAUUCGUGUUCAGGCAGAAUUCCAUUACGUAAGUUUGGAUUUUUUUCUCGUCCUUUUUCUAUGAUCGUGGUGUCUGUAUCAGCUUGCCCUUUUUGACUAACUCCUUUUUUACAUUCUUUGGUUCAACAGUGGUUUCAUAAUUGCAAUUAAUAUUAUCGGCUGGAAUUCGAUAGUUGGGGUAAGGCUAUGUCGAAUUUUCAUACAAAUCAAACGUCUUCUCAACUUAACGCGAUCAGAUGAAUGUCGAAUCCAGCCAUUAAACCUUGAUUUUACUUGCAGAUAUUAUACUUCAUUGGUGCUGGACUCUUUGCUCUUGAAUCAGUGAUCAGCAUAUGGGUUAUUCAGGUUUAGACCGGAUUAUAUUUGUCAUUUUCUCUCAUGUGUACACUUGGUUAAAAAUAUCUUCUUCUUUUUUAUGUAUAUACAAUAGAUAUUGAACCCGUCUCUGCUCUUACGUGACCCUUUUCAUGAUCUACAAUAUGCAGCAAGUGUUCACGUAUUUCAGAGGGAGUGGAAAAGCCGCGGAGAUGAAGAAAGAGGCUGCAAGAUCAACGAUUAACACAGUCAUGUGAGAGAGCUAGAAAAUUUUCUGGAGUUUUGAACUUUUGUCAAGUGUGGUGUUCUCUCAUUGUUUCUUCUCACACCUUAGCCAUUUUAGAUAAGCUUGGUUUUUUUUUGGUUAAUGUGACUUCUCAAGUACAUACAUAGUGGUUGUAAUAUGGCUUUUGGCUAUACUAGUGUUGUGUUAAUUCUUAAAAUCUCAAAACUAUUUUUCACAUAACUAAGGUUAUUUGGUACAUUAAAGUUGUAUGAAUGUACAAUGUGUGUGUGUUUGGUGUCAGUCAACAAUGAGAAUUGAACUCACAUAUAUACCUCGAAAUGAAAAAAAGAUAUUGUUAAGCGUUUGUCGUCCCACAUCAGUAGGAAAUGAGAAGUAGAGAGUUGAGAGGUAAUAUAAAAGACGAGAUUUGUGAGUUGAGUAAGGUAUACCUUUCUCGGCCUUUUGGCUAAGAUCAAGUGUAGUAUCUGUUCUUAUCAGUUUAAUAUCUGAUAUGUGGGUCAUUGACUCACACGAUAUUAACUCAAUUUUUUAAGGGGGAGGUCCAUCAAAGUAGCUUGCUACUUGGGUCUUCAUGCGUCGCCUAGGCUUUGCACUACAGCCCAGGCCUGGCGCACCCCACCAAUUCAAGUUAAAAAUAUUUGUGGAAACUAAGCAAUUACUUUAGC
rnacentral:lncRNA from 1 species